GGAGGACUAGUUUCGUAAAUAUUCCAUAUGACGCACAAAAACGCGGAUCCGAGUUGGGGAGCGGGUUGACGCGCGGAUCCCCUCCCUAAACGGCGUCGUUUCGCUUUGUGGUCAAAAUCAAAGAAAAAUUAAAUGGCAGUCUGCCAUUUUUUGCCGAAAUUAACUCCUAAUUCCCUAUUCUUUUAACCCUCAUUUCUAGGGUUUCAACCGCGCCUCUGCUAGAAGAUCGGAGGACCUUUACUCUCCCCCCAAAGGCCAACUCUGACGAUAGAGGGAGAGUUUCUGACGAGGGAAGAGUGAAUCCACUUUUGUAUUCCUCUCUCUUUUCUUUUUUAUUUAUUCGCAUACAAGAAAAGUAUUUCAAAGACAAAAAAGGAAAAAACUGAAAAUAGAGAUUUAAAACCAAAAAAUAAAGUAAACUAUCACCUUCUAAUUUUUGUGGAAUUUUCUCUUUUUUGAUUUCGUAUUCAAUCUUUUCGUAAAUCACUUUACACUGAUUUUUUUGACCUUUUUAUGACCGAUUUACAGAAUAAAUAAAUAAAUAAAAUAGAGAAAAACUCUAAUUUUUGCUGUCAUCUGCUGGCCUAUUCCUGUUAUUUGCUCCUUCUCAUGUGUUCAAUUUGCAGGUGUGGAGAAAUGGCAGUACGGAGGAAUCCGCUCGUGGAAGCCGUGUGUGGGAAUCACUCGUGGGAUCAAUCUGCUGCUGCUCUAGCGUCUUCCAGAAACCCCUAGGGUUUCUGGUGCUAUCACAUUAUUGGGCUCCUUUGGGCCAUUUAGGAAUUGGGUCAGGGACUAAAUUAGGGGUUUUGGGUGUAAUAGGAUUUUGGGUUAAUGUUUUGGGCCAUUAUUUAUUGGGUUUGGUGAUUUAUUUGGGUUAAUUAGGUUAUUUUAUUAUUUGUAAAAGAACUUGGACUUUGACUAAUUUUAGGCCAUUUAUUUUCUUUUGUUUUUUAUAUUUAUUAUUUUUGGUUUAUAAUGGGCCGGGCGAAUUGGGCCUAUUACAAUUACUAACUAUUAAUUUUUAAUUAUCCUAAAUAAUGAACAUAUAUUAAAAAAUUUAAAUUUAAAAAACUAUAUAUAAAAAUAAAAAUUAAAAAUAUACGUAAUCAAUUUCAUUUGAAAUUUUAAAGUAAAAAGUAUGGUAUCAUAUUUAAAAAUUAAAAAAUAAAUUUUUUUUAUAUUUAUAUAAUUAAAAAUAUUAAUUAUUUUUAAAUUACUUAAAUUAAAUUUUUAUAUCUUAAAUCCUACCUUUACAAAUUCUAACUGAGAGACUUGGUACAACUUUCCUCUGAAAUCUACAUUUUACCUUCAGCAAAAUUCCUAAGUAUACCCAAUUUUAAGUAUCAAAAUUAAGACUACUUUAUCAUUUGUCUGCUAGGCUUACAAAUUGAUGGACUGACUUAGUUGGAGUGCCUUGAACUUCAAUUUUGGGCUUAAAUGGUAUGGGUUAGAUUUGUAAGACACAUUCAAUAAUUAGAUAUUUCCUUUAAAUUUUUUAGCAAUUUAUUAUUAUUAUUAUCAACCUUUGAGAUUACUCUUUUUAAUAAUAUACUUUUAUUAUGUUUUUUUUUUAGAAUGCAAUGCGUUUUGUCGUUACGUUCAACACUUAUUAAUAAUAUUCAAGUAGUUGGUUAGAAUUAAAAUUAGGUUGGGUUUAGAUUAAAAGUAACUAGAGCAUAACUCAAUUUAGGGUGAGUUUGUUUAAUGAAAAAUAUUUUUUUUGCAUUUUUCUGUAUUUUUUUUUAUGAAAAACAGCUUGGUCAACAGAAAAUAAUUUACUACACAACGAAAAAUAAGUCAUUUUUCGAAAAAGAGCUCAUUUAUAAGUAGUUUUAUUUUUAUAUAAAAAUUAACUUGAAUCCAAUCUAAUAUUAUUAUAUUAAUAAUUUGUUUAAUUUUAAUUUUUAAAUAUUUAAAAUAUUAAUAUUAAAUAUUAUAAUUUUCAAUAUUAAUAAACAUACAUAUUUAAUUAUUUAUAUUUAAUAAUAUAAUAAAUUAUUAAUAUAAUUAAUAUAAUUUACUAUUUUAUUAAAUAAUUUAAUAUUAAAACUUUUAUUUUUAUAAUAAAAUUUAAAAUAAUAAUUUUGAAGUUUAAAUAAUAUUCUUCAUAUAUUAUUGCAAAAUAUUUAUAUUAAUAUUAUAAUAAUAAAUAAAUAUUACAAUUAUAAAUAUAUUAAUAAUAAAUGUUUUAUAGUAUAAGAUUAAAAUAUAUCGUAAAUUUAUGUACUCUUCAUAAAUUCGGAAUUAGUCAAUGUAUUUCUAUUUUCAGGAAUUUAGUCCCUUUACUUUUCAAAUUUCAAAAUUCAGGUCAAAUUAUUAACACUAUUAAAGCUUUUUUUUUAAAAUUGUUGGUGUGUCAUUUUUAAAAAAAAAAUCUAACCUGGUAGUCAUGUAACUAAAAAAUACGUUGUAAGUUGGACAUAAAUUUAAAAUCUAAAAAGUUUGACUAAAUUCCUAAAAAAUAAAAGUAUAGGGACAAAAUUCUAAAUUUUCAAAAUGUAUGAUGACUUAUGACAUAUUUUAACCUAAUAAAAUAUGAGUAUUUUAAUUAUAUAAAUAUAAGUAUUUCUUUAAAUCAUUCUUAGUUUCAUUUAUCCCUUCUAAUUUUAAUGUGUUAAUAUUCACUCUCAUAUAUGUAAUAUAUGUAAUAUUAUUAAGUUUUAAUUAAGUAUUAUUUAUUAUUAAGUUUAUAGAUGUUAUUAAUUGUUACCCAAUAUUAUAUUAUUAUAAAAUAAAUUUCGAUUGUCAAAAAGAAAUUUACUAUAAUAUUUUGCAAGAAAUAUAUUUAUGUUGUGUUUGUUUUACUAAGAGUAAUUUUUAGAAAAUGAUUUCAGGAAAAUUUAUCAAAUAACAAAAAGUAUUUUACGCAGAAUCAUCCAGACAUUAGAAAAUAUAAAUUUUUCCAAAAAAUAAAUCUAUUUUUCAAAAAUUAUUUUUCGAAAGUUUUUUUUAAAUGAAGCCUUAAUUUUAGUUCGAAAGUGACAAUAAUGAAGCAUUUGAAGUUAACUCAAACGUUCAGUUCUUGAAGACUUACAAAACAAUGCUUGACAAGUGAGAAAUGGUGUGUUAUGUAAACUCUAGACUAAUCAUUGAGAACAACUAGUUAGAAAAAGAAAACUCGAAGCUGAUCAAAAAAGCGGAAGCAAAGGAGUUUCAACUUGCUAUUGAGAAAGCAAAUCUAGAGAAAACUCAGAUGGAGAUUGAGUCAACAAAGUAGAUGCUAGAGAAAUUCAAUUCUAGCAGUGGAAAACUAGAUGAAAUUUUAGCUGUAGGAAGGACCCCUGGAAAAAGAGGACUGGGUGUCGGAAAAUAAUGAAUAUUUUGGAACUUCGAGGUAUAUUAUUUUAUUGAUAAAAUUGAAGGUUUGAAUAAUAAAUUAUAGAUUUAUAUUCUAUAUAAUAUGUUCAAAAUUGUUGAGUGAUAAAUGAUAAAUUGAUACUCAAAUUAAACAAUAAUUAUGUCUCUUGAUGAACAAUUGUAUCUCUUGGUGAACAAAUUCAUUGCUUUUGGUUUAAUAUUAAUCUUUUCGUUUAUUGUGUCUGUUCACUUAUAUCUAUUAACUUUUCAACAAAACUCUUCAUAAAUCGGUCUAAAUCUCUUCAUUCAUUUCCUCUUCUCUAUAUAAAGCCAAGUUAAGAGGCUUUCAAAACACAUCAUCAAAAACCAUUAAUAUAAAAAAUUCCUUCUAAAUUCAUUCUUUUUGGUGAUUGAGAAAGACAAGAUUGUGUUUGAUCAAUCACUGUUAUUGUGCUACUACUGUGAAUGUUUAUUAUUGUAUCCUGAGAGAUAGACGUCCCACGUUACUCAAAGCACCGAAGAGAGGUCAAAUCUGUCUAAGGAAACUAUUCAUGUAGGUCUUAACAAAAUUCUUAUUCUUAUUUUCAACUCUAUCCGAUUAUAAGUAUUCUGUUGUGUUAUUGCUACUGCAUUGUAUUACAUUGUUAUUGUUAUUGACAUAUUAAUACUACAUAUGAUAUUAAUAUUAUAUUUUCUUACACUAGGGUAUGUUGAGGAAAAAGGUAAAACUAUUACUGAAGGUCUUACGGCCUUUGUUAGAGCUACAAAUGAAAAUCACGGUGAAAGCUCGAAGAAGCCUACGAUCAUCAAUGUUGAUAGGAAGGUAUACUUUAAACCUAAAAUCAUUUGUCAUUAUUGUGGUACUCCAGGCCAUAUCAGGCCAAGAUGUUUUAAAAUGUUGCAUGACUUGAGAUGGAAGCGAGUAGUUUCAACCCCAGUGCCCACUUGUCCAAGCACUGCACAAAGAAAGAAGCAAAAUCUUGUCUAGGGGAAGAAGGAUAAAAAAUGUUUGCUUGUUGCUCAUCAUUCCUUAAAGACUAUUGUAUAUCAUAUAUUGUAGUUCGAUUGUGGAUGUUUGUGUCACAUGACUAGGAAUGCUACUUGUCUUUCUGACUUUGAUGAAAACCAUGGAGUUCAUGUAACACUUGGUGAUGGCAAGAAAGGAAGAAUUCUUGGCAAAGGAAUUCUUUAUGUCCCUGGUUUACCUGAAUUGAAAAAUGUUUUUCUUGUUGAUGGAGUCAAGGAAAAUUUAAUCAGUAUUAGUCAAUUAUGUGAUCAGAAAAUGUAUGUCAGCUUCACCAAAAACAAGUGUUUGUGACCACUAAAUUGGGUGAUAGUGUCAUGAAAUGAGCAAGAACAUUAGACAAUUGCUACAGGGUGAUUUAGCCAUCUCGGCGCAGUAAAGUUGGUAUCUCUAAACUUGAGUUGUGGCAUGAAAAGCUUGGACAAAUUCACUACAAAGCUCAACUGUUUGGUCAAAUAUGAAGCAAUAAGAAGAAUGCCUGAGUUAGGGGAGCAAUGCCUAAAGUUAAAGUUUGUGGAAACUGUCUCAAAGGAAAGCAACAUAGGGAGUCCCACAAGCGGUUACAAUUGGUGCAAACUACUUUACUAGAGUUGCUGCAAUGGUUCUGACUGGACCAAUGCUAAUUGAGAGUAUUGGUGGUAAUAGAUACAUUCUUGUAUGUGUUGAUGAUUAUUGUAGACUUACCUGGGUAAGGUUUCUCAAUGAAAAAUCAGAUGCUUUUUGAGAAUUCAAGAAGCUAUGUAGAAGACAGAUAAAUGAGAACAGAAGCACCAAUGACACACUUGUAAAAACCAAAAGCGAUCAUAGUCGAAAAUUUGAGAAUGAGGAGUUCUCAAGUUCAAGUAAGACGUUUCAAGUAUAUAACAAACAAACUCAAAAGUUAAUAGAGUCUAUUAAUGUUAUUAUUAAUGAUGAAUCCAUUCAGAAGGGUGCUACUAAUGAAGGUGAAAGAGUGUCAUAACUGGUGCUUGAACCAGUGUCCACUGCGUCAACACUAAGAAAGUAGUUGAUAAACAUGGAGAAGAAAUUCAAAAUGGAUCCAAAUUAAAGUUGAUGUAAUAAUUAUUAUAUUUUUAUAUGGAUCCAUUCAAUUUUUAACUAUUCAAAAAUCGAUUUAAUUAUUAUAUUUUAUAUGAAAAUCCAUUUCAAUUAAAAUGGAUCCAAAUUUGAAAUAAUCCAAAUCUAAAAAAAAAAUAAAAAAAUCUAAAUUGGAUAGUUGUUGGAAUUGGACCAAAAUGAUCGGUCAAGUCAAUUAGAUUAAGAAUUGAUUGAUCGGAUUGAUUGGACUGAGAACCGAUCGAUAAUACUAGUCUGGACAAAAGUUUGAACUGAAUUUUGAGUGAAGCACUCGGAACAUGUUGAAUCGGUUGAUCCAUUUUUUCUAUUUUUAAUAAAUUUUUAUUUUUUAAAAAAGUUUUAUAAAAUUUUAAAAAAUUUAUUUAAUUAAAACCAAACCUAAAACCAUUGAAACCGAAACUGGGAUAUUCUGAUCGGUUCCAUGGUUCUGUUUUAAAAACCAUUGAAGAAUCCCAUCCAAAUAUGAAAAUCAAUGAAACCUUUGACCUUGAUCACCACCAUCCUGAUUCCUGCACAACAAUUUCAAUCGGGAGAAGAUGCAGCGCCACAUAAUGUGGCGACAAACAAGUCAUAUUUAUAGUCAAAAUUAGCUGCUUAUGCACUACUAAAGCAUUGUAAAUUCUUUUAUCUCCAAUUCAUAUUGCUGGCAUUCUACAGUAACUGGAACCACAUGGAAAUGACACUUUUGUGUGUGUUUGGCAACCAAGAACAGAUCGUGCUUUUGACUUCCUUAUAUAGCCUCAAUAUUCUUCAACACCAAUUUCCCACGUCUUCCUCUAUAUAUGCUGCUGGCAUAAUACAUAUACUUUGUUCAGUCAAAGCACGUUUCAUGCUUUAGCAUAUUUGAAGUAUCUACUGACAAAAACACUGAAACCAAAAACACAAAUAGGGACUGAAUCAAACCCAUUUCCCGUAAGACCACCGACUUUCAUUUCAAUAAGUAAACUGGAGAAAAUUUGACCAUUCCUAAAGCAGUUGAGUAAAUUCAAUGCAUCAAAUUUGUGUCUGCACGUGUACUUCUCAAAAAGUUGUUCACUGAGUAUAUAUAUAUAUUAAAUCUUUCCCUCGGCCGUGACUUGUAGAUUCAGACCCAAAAGUUCUUCAGCAAAUAUUAUAUUUUGUCAGAUAGAGUCAUGUUAUCCUAUACAAAUUCUAGUAAAGGCGAUGCUGAGCAGCUUAGAAGAGGAACUUGGUCUGCUGAGGAAGACUCUCUCCUAAUUCAUUAUAUUGCUCGCCAUGGCGAAGGCCACUGGAAUUUGCUCGCAAAACGAGCAGGUAAAUUAAACUUGGAAUCAUCAUAAGGUGUAUUGUAGUGAUUACUUAUCUUAUCCUUUAAUAAUAGGGUUGUGGUUUCGAUUCUUACUCAUGAUAAUUGAGUACAUUUAAUUGUUAGCCAUUAACCCCUUUAAAAAGCAUCUGUAACCACAACGAGGGGUUAAUCACUGCUUUCAUGGAUAACUGAUUAGGACAAAAAAAAAAAAAAGAAAAAAAAAGAAACUUAAAACACAAAAUCACCAUUCACCUGUCAGAUGAAAAUAAAAUCUACUAAGUUGAACUAUAUAUGUGUGUGUCUUAAUAAGAAAUUGCUGGUUUUGUGGGAUAGGGUUGAGGAGAACUGGAAAGAGUUGCAGGCUGAGAUGGCUAAAUUAUCUGAAACCAGAUGUUAAGCAUGGAAACCUUACUCCACAAGAAGAGUGUUUGAUUCUUCAACUCCAUUCCAAGUGGGGUAACAGGUAAUAACUUCUUUUACCAUUUCCCAUUCUGCUAUUUAGUUGACAUUAUAUGAUAUUGAUUUGUAGGUGGUCAAAGAUUGCAAAAUAUUUACCAGGAAGAACAGACAAUGAGAUAAAAAACUACUGGAGAACCCGUGUUCAUAAACAAGCACGUCAUCUAAAGAUUGAUGCUAAUAGCACACCAUUUCAACAUGUUAUUCGAUGUUGUAAUUGGAUGCCAAGACUGCUUCCAAAAAUGGAAUCACUAAACCAAACUUCUCAGCAUGAUCAAGAAUUAAUGACAAUGGAACAAGUGCCAGUACAGGAGCAGAUUUCAGGAUCUACGGAUAUCAUGUCAACCAUAUCCCAAGUUGCAGAGUCUCAAACAAGUCCUUUUAGCAUCAUUAGUAGCAAUGAUGACUACACACUUGCAAAGUAUUGCUACCAUGAUGACAAUAUUGAUAAAAACGGUUGCUAUUACAACUUGGCAUCCACAUCAGCAUUUGAGGAUUUACCAUACUUGUGUUAAUGAUGGCUUUGCAGAUGGUCUAUGGAGCAUGGGGGAACUAUGAAAACUUAGGGACUUGCAUUGAAGGGGAACCCUGCCAUGUUUUUUUUUAUAUAUAAUUUUUCAGCAGCUAAAAGUAUCUAUUUUGCAUUUUGGUCCCAAACUUCUCAGCAUAAAAAAUACUAGUCUACCUCAUAUUUUCAUUGCUUUUCAACAAUACCUUCAUAUUUGUUUCAUUUCUCUCUAACAAUCCCAUUGGCUUGAUAAUCACAUAACCGACCUUGUUGCUUACCAUCUUUGCUUAAGAUCUUGGUUGUAUCAUGCUGUUCCAUAUUGUUUUUCUUAGUGAACUCACAUAUUUUCUCUAUUUUCUGGUUUCUCCAAGGAAAAGAUGAAUCUAGAUCAAUGUGAGAUUCAUGAGUACAUGCAUAGCCAAUCGUUUGAGGUUUUCUUUUUUAUGUAUCAUUGGUUAGAUAUAUGCAUUUCUUCAAAAAAUAGGAAUAGGAAAGAAUAUAUAUGUACUAAAACAAUAGCUUUAUUUCAUAAUUUUGAGAAUUAAUAUCUUUUAUUUAUGAUUUUUUAUAUUUUUAAAAUCAUUUAUUGGCAUGUCAUAUAAAAUAAAAUAAUAAUGUUACAUUAGUAAUGAAGGGUUGCGGGUCAAUUUGCUCUAAAUAAAAUAGUAGUUAGAGAUAAAUUGAAUUAAAAUAUAAAGUUUUAGUACUACAUUUAUCAUCAUGUCUUACGUAUAAAACUCCAAAAUAAACAUUUAAUGACAUGAUUUAAAUGAGAGACAAUUUUUGUUCAUUCAUAUAAUAUUUUACCCAUUUAAACAGUAUUUCAUCCAUGAGAAUACCAAGUUUAAUCUUGUUAUGUUAGUUAGUUUUGAUUUUUUUUUUCAUUCCUUUAAUCAAAGUAAUGAAAAUUAAUUUUGUAAUCUUUAAAAAAAUUCAAAUGUUGAAAAACUCAAAAACAAUUUUUCAAUAAAAAACAAAUAUUUAAAAUACCUUCAACAUUCAAAAAUAUUUUUGAGUACUCCAUCCCAAGACCCUUCAAAAUUCAUAAAAAAAUAAAAAUAAAAUUAAACCACACUCAAUUAGUCAAUUAUACAUGAAUUUUGACAAUAACUUUUUCAAAGCUUUUAUUAUGUAAUAAAUACAUUACAGUACAAUUAUAAAUAUAAAUUCAAACAACUAUAAAACAAAAUCUAAUUAAUACAAAGCAUAGCAGAUGAAGAAUCGAUAAGAUUUAUCCUUGGCAAAUACAUAAUUACAUGUGGUUUAAUGUUGCAAUUUAAUUCAAUUUAGUUUAAUUAUUUAGUUUAAGGAAAACCAUUCUAGAAUGAGUUUAUGGAUUUUUUAAAACUCUACAAGUGGGUUACGGAUAUGACAUGUGUUUUAUUGGGUAUAGUAAAAAAUUAAUAUUUAAACAAAUGAGACACUUGUCAUAUUCUUAACCAUGAGUCUAAAAACUUUACAAGUUGUGUAUCAAAUAAUUACUCUUAGUUUAAUGUUGUAAAUUUAAUUCAAGAACUAUCUUGUCAAAACUCAAUAUCAAUAUUUGAUUAUUUUUUUAUUUUAUAAUUAAAAAUAAUGAAUUGAUUUAAUUUUUAUUUAUUAUUGCAUUUUUUAAUCUUAUUCUUUUUACCAAUUUUAGUCCUACAAUUAAUAUAAAAUAAAAAAAUGAGUUGCAAUAAAUAUUUAAAAAAAGAAAAAAAAAUAGUGUGUUGCUUAACAUAAUGGAAGGGGCACGAAUUCGGCAUAGGGUGGGAGCAAAAGAUUUUUGUUCACCAAUACCCAAGACUAAUAUAUCGAUACAUUGCAACUCAUUAAUAAAAAUAUUUUCUGAAAGGGUAAAGUAUUGAUACCUUACCUUAAGGUAUCAAUACAUUGAGAAUUGGUAGCCAAUAUUUUAAAAGAGGGGGCAAUUAGGUGUUUAUACCUACCCAUGAGGUCGGUACUUUCCUUGGAGGUAUUAAUACCUAGACAAUUCCAAUGGUUAUUUUUAUGCUAGGUAUCAAUAAUAUCUUUUUAGAUACUAAUACCUAUGUUUGCAGGCUAUCAUUAAUGAGUAGAUUUAAUGCUUUCAACUGUUAGAAACUCCUUCUAACAGCUUCGAACAACUACAAAUCAAUGAGAGUAUAUAAAUAAGGUCUGAAAACACUUUAAUGACGAUAAGAAACAAUCUUAUAAAGAUCAAAGAGCAAAAAAUCCAAUCCCUCAUUUGUUAUUCUCAUCUUUCUUUCAAAAAUACUUGUUGGGUUCAUUUGUUAUUCAUUAUGCAAGUGCUUAAUUGUAUUUGUGAGUUCUUAAACUUUGUAUAUUCACCAUUGAGAGGUUUCAUUUGUUUCAUAUUCUUAUUUAUCUUAUUUGAGAGUUUAAAUAAGGUUUUGAGUAGAAAACCUUGAAGGGAAUUGUGGUGCUAUAUAACCAAAUUAAAAGAUAAAGUUUGUAAAAGUUAUACUUUAUUCUUAGUGAAUUAAGAAAAAUCCUUAAUUGAGGGAUGCUAAGGUAGUAAAAAUAGACAAUUGAGGACGAAUCACCCUAAUAUCAUUGUGCAAAGUUUUUGAGCUUUUUUUUUUCUUUAGUUUUUUUAACACCAAUUCACCCAAUUCUUGAUGUAUUUUGAGGAUAACAAUUAUUAUUUAUAUUUUUUUGUUCAAAAGUUAAAAGCAUAAUGUAGAGCUAGCAAACUAGGGCCAAAUCCAAAAGCCCACCAUGCCAAUCUAAGCCAAUAAUGAUCCAAACCCAAAAAGAUCCAAGCCUAAGACUAAUUCGAGGCUAAGCUCAUAACGAUCCGAUAACUAAGACAAGCUAUCUUCUUGUAAAGACUUUAAGUGACCUAAUAGUUCUUACAUGAGUUACUUGCUCCUCAUAAUCCCACUAAAAAUGAUUAUGUUAAGAUUACCAACUAUAGUAUCUUUUCCCCACAAAAACUCCUUUGUUAUGCCGGUAAUCAAUAAGUCAUUAUUUUUUGUACCAUUUACUUUAAACAUGUUUAGAUUAUUGAUUGUCUUUCGCAUACAAAACUCUUUUCUUAUGCUAUUUUCUCAUAGAUAAUCAAUGAGCCAUGUCUCCUUAUACCAUUUGCUUAACAUGCAAAUCAUUAACAAUAUAAUAGUAAUGAAUAAUGAAUAAUAUGUGUAUAUUAUUAUGAAAUAAAAAUUUAGAUAAAAUUAAAACACCUCGGGCACUAAAGCUUCAAUCACUUACUUUGGGUGGAUGAUAAGACCAAAAUUAGUGAAAAAAGUGGCAAGGUUCAGUUGACAAAAUUGAUUCUAAAAGUUGAGAAAGUCUAGAAAUAAAUGCACCUCACCUCCCCUAUGCAUCGGAGUCUAGGCUAAAUUGUUCCUAUACACCUCAACGGACAUGGAUGGCGAGGUUAAAUAAUAUUUAAAAAAAAUACUUUCUCAGAAUUACUUUUCCAAAAACUUUAUUUUGGAAACAAAAUCGUAUUUAAGGAGUCAGAUCAAACUUAUGUACAAGUUAAUUUAGUAUUCGUAUAUGAAGAAAUUAAUACUAUAUUAAUAAUUAAAUAGCAUCCACGUAUUUUGAAAUAUUUUAUUUAUUAUUUAAAAAAUAAAAAUAAAAAUAAAAUGUUAAUGAUUAAAUAGCAAGUACCUGACUUGUUUGAAAAUAUUGAAUUUUUUUUUAUUUUGAAAAACAAACUUGGUACUAUCUAUUUAAGAAAUCAAUCCAACAAAAUAAAAUAAUGAUAAUAAUAUGAAAAUAUACAUUAAACAAUAUGAUUUAAAUUUUUUUUUUAAAAAGUACCCUCUCUCACCUUGUCUAUUUGUUCUUUGUAUGGAAUAUUUGGCUCAAUGUAUCAAUAUGGAAUAUUUGCCAAGGAUGAUCUUAGCUUAUCUCAUCUAUUCUUUGUUGAUGAUUUAGUUUUAUUUAUUGAAUCUUCUGCUAUUAAGAGAGUGCUGAAUGAUUUUUGUGGCAGUUCUAAACAUUGGAUUAGUGCACUAAAGAUGCACAUUUUCUUCUCCAAUAAUGUGUCCCUUAUCUCUAAAAGGAUCUCUCAGUUGUGGUCUUAAAAAUUUUCAUGUUGAUGAUUUGGGAAAGUGUCUAAGGGUUCUUUUAUUACACCAAUAUGUCACGAAGGAUACAUGUCAGCAUCUUGUUCAAAGCAUGAGACAGAAGUUGACAUGUUGGAAGGCGAAAACUCUCUUUUUAGUAGACAAAAUCACGUUUACCAGAGUAGUCUUGGCGGCGUUUCUAGUUACGUGAUGCAAUCUAUAGUCCUUACUAAAGAUAUAUGCCUUGAGAUGAAGAAAAUCAUCUUUCAUUUCAUAUAGGGAUACACUGAGAAAAAAAAAAAAGAAUUCAUCUUGUGAAAUGGGAUGAUCUUUGUAAACAUCCCAAUCAAUGCGACCUUAUUUUUGAACUAUUGUAUGACUAAAAAAAAUCUAUCAAGUGUAUUGGAAGUUCAAUUUUAGGUUGGAUUUCUUAAACUAAGUUGCUCCGAGAAGUUAAAUUAAGAGGUUUCCCAUAAUAGGCACGAUAAUGAAUUAGUAAAUGAUUAUGAAUUAAAAUUAUUAAAUUAGUGAGAAUUUGUAAAUAGGAGAUUAAGGCCUAUAGACUAAAUUGUAAGGUUGGCAAUAUUAGUGAGGUUAAUGUGAGAAAACUAGAAAAUAGCAAUUAGAAGAGGGGAGGUCUUUAACUAGUCAAUAACCUAAGCUCCUCAUAGAAAAAAAAAAUCACAUUUUGAAUUAGUUGUUAGAGAGAAUGGUUGAGUAUAUUUUUGCAAGAGUAGUUUUCCAAAUAUUAUUUCUAAAAUUCUCUCAAGUUUGAUUUUCUUUCAAUCAACUUUUAUUUGGUAAGUUCACUUUUCAUUAAAUCCUUUCAUUACAAGAUUCAUAAAUAAGAAUUUCAACAUUUUUUGAUUUCUUUGUUCAAUAUUUUCCAGCAAGGUGACAUGUUUUGUAAUCCUAAUCUAUGAUUUCUAAACAAUAAAAGAUGAUAUUUGAUUUUUCUCCAUUUUUUCCCAUUUUUUAGCAAUUUUCAAAAUAGUAUGAGAAAGAUUUGAUUUAAUGUUUUUAUGAUAUUCUUGAGUUAGAUUCUUUUUAGUUUUAUGUUUAGAGUGGAAUGGGAAGGCAGAAAUAAAGGUUUGUUCUUAAUUUUAAUGGAGUUAUAUUGAGAUUUCAUUGUUGUGCUUAAGUUGUUCUAGAGAGAGUGUAUGUAAGAACUAGUAUUGUUGGUGGAUUUUGAGUAUUUAAGAAUUUUUAAUUUUAAUUUUAAAAAUUUUCAAGUUUGAAUGGAUUAGUUUAGCAUUCUCUUGAGUUUGAGUUAGAAGCAGUAAAAUUCUCACUAUAUUAAAUUGCAUCUCAUUGAUAGUUAUAAGUGAUUUUAAUUCUUGAUUAUGUUUUUUUAACUUUAUUUCAUUAUUUCGAUUGACUGUUGUAGCAAAAAAAAGUGAUUGAAUCCUCCAAGACUAUGGAGAAGAAGAAGAUAACUAAAAUGUGAUGAUUUUAGCUUGUGUUAACUUGACUUAAUUUUCUAAUAUAGAUUCAAUUAAGUAAUUUAGCAUCGUUUUAUUGGUGAUGAGUUUUUUAUUAUAUGUGUUAUUAAUGCAUAAUCUAUUCUAUGUCAUAUACGUGUUUAUUGUGAGUUGAGAUGGUUUUAGGAAAAAAAACAUGAGCUUGUUUUGUAUUGGAAUUGAUGCAAUAAUUAAGUGACUAAAAUUUAAUGAGAUAUGAUCAUGAUGACAUCUUUGUUGCUUUGAUAAUAUGUUUCAUUGUUAAACAUCCUAUUAAACAAUUUAGAAAUAGUUCAGGUAUAGAUUUGUUUUGUGAUGAAUGAAGAUUUGGUGUUUGUGUGCGCUUACAUUUGACACUUGUGUACAUUUUUGAAGUGUUAGGGGAAGUCAUGUUUUUACACAGAUUAGUACAUUUAUGCCUCUUGGUGUUUGUGCGCAUUUUGUGGAGUGUUUGGGGAUUAAUUCAAGUAUCCAUUCUUGAUCCAUAAUUGGUUAAAGAGGCUUAAUUUAAUGAUAAUUAUUAUGACAAUGAUGUUUGUUAAAUGAAUUUGAUGAUUGCUAUAAUGUGUGGAAAAGAGAAAUGUAAUAUCGAGAUUUCGCGAUAUAUGUUUUGAACAUGUCAAUUGUUUUGAAUUGUGUACUUAGAAUUAUAAAAAGGGGUAAUGAUUGAUGUUAUAAUGAACCUAGGAAAUGUGUCUAAUCACUGAUUUAUUAUUGUGGUAGCAUUCACUAUUGCUUAAUGAUUUUAUAUUAGGAGAUUGGUUAUUAGUACCACUAAGUUUUAUAAUACUUAAUGUGUGGAUUGUUUGUUUCGUGCCUAAGUCUUAGAAGUGAAUUCAAGUAGUGGUUAGUCAAUUGCAACAUUCGACCUCUCGAGUCUUAGCUAUAUCCAUUGAUGUUUUGUAAUUCCUUUCUUUGAAUUAGUUUUGGGCAUGUCUCUAGGUCACUAGGGGAACUUUCAUGUCUUGAGUACAUUUCUUUACCGUUUUGAUAUAUUUGCUAUAUUGAGUAUGUUCGGUAUUUUUCUGUAUAUCUUGGUAUUUUCAAUAUAUUUGAUAUAUUGAGUAUGUUGGGUAUGUUUUUUUUGUAUAUCUUAAUAUUUUUUGAUAUAUUUGAUAUAUUGAGCAUUUCUUUAGAUUUUGAAAGUGAACUUAUUUGAUGAGUGCAUGGUUUAUAGUUUAUAUUUUUGCUUGACUAAUGAACUUUUGAUAUAUUUUGUUAAUGAUCGUGUACUUGCAUGUUUUAUACUUGAUUUACUUGAGGGAUUAAUCACAAAAUUUAACCUUUUUGUACAAUAAAUUAUUUACUUUUAUAUUAUACAACUGUAAAAAAUAAAUAAAUGUUAUACAAUAAAAAAAUAUAAAAGUAUAAACUGUUUCUCAUUAUUAUUGAAUAACACAUAAAAUAACAAAUACAAAUCAAAAUAUAAACACCAACAACAUCUAAAUUAGAGUUAAUCGCACAAGACAUCUUCAAAUCAUUAUUCUUAAAUUGAUUCUUAAAUUUCAAAAUAUUUUAAUUACAUUAUCAAAUUAUUAAUGUUAUAUCAAUUAGAUCCUUAAUUUUGUUAUUAAAACUGUUAAUUUAAUCAUUACAUGAUACUUCAAAUCUUACGUAACUAAAUUUAAAAUGAUAACUUUAAAGAAAAUAUAACAUUUUUGCAUAAUUUUCAAAAGUAAAAUUUAAAAAUAAAGUAUAACUGGAAAAAAGAAAAAGAAAAAGAGAAAGGGUGAACGACAAAGUUUCUUUUAAAGUUUUAAAAACCUCAUAACUAAAUUUUCAAAAACAUCUAUUUUUACAAUAUUCAUUUUCUUUAAAAUUUUCAUUUUAAAUUAUAUCAUAUAAGAUCAGACUUGUCAUUUAACGGUUAAAUUAACAAUGUUAGUAAUGUAAGGGUCUAAUUGAUAUAACAUUGAUAGUUUAGGGAUGUAAUUAGAGUGAUUUAAAGUUUAAGGAUCAAUUUAGAAUGAGCUCAUAGUUUGGGGAUGUUUGUUACAAUUAACUCUCUAAAUUACACAAAUUUAAGUUCUAUUUUUUUUUUGUUAAAUUAAAAUGUUUUAUUAUGCAAAUAAAAUUAGGUUUUCAAAAAUUUAACGACCCACUGUGCAGUCUCUUUACACAGCCCCGCCGUCAAACAAGCCUCUCAGCAGCCCUUUCUUUCUCUUCUUCUCCUUCUCCCCUUCUCCGGUCCCUGAGCAGGCCAGCCAGUAAUUCAAAUAAGGUAACUUUAAACUUAACUUGAAGAUUGGUUUCUACUUGAGACAUUAGAUUUUGAGUUAUCUGCUUCACUCUGCUAGAUUUGAUUCUCUAUUUUCGCUCCUACUGCAUGUUGCUUUGUUUCAUCUAUACGCUCUCUGAUUACUCUGUCUCAUCAAGUAUAAACUAUUGGUUCAACAAUUGUGAUAGCUAAUUUGUAAUGACAUUCUUUUGCUGAUCUUGAAGAUGUAUACAUCAAUGAAGAAGAUCCACAAGGAUAAGGAUGUUGAACCAACUGAAUUUGAGGAGUCGGUUGCCCAGGUUUUAAAACGCUCUUUUGUUUGUUUGUUUGUUGCACUUGGAAAGUUGAUAGAAAUUCUGGGUAUGAUUUCAUUAUGCUUCUUUGUAACAGGCAUUCUUCGAUUUGGAGAAUACCAACCAGGACCUGAAAAGUGACCUCAAAGAUCUCUACAUUAAUUCAGCAGUGUAAGAAAAUGAUUCACUGGGAUUCUUAAUAAUGUCACAUAUGUAUUUUUCCAUUAUAUGAUUGAUACAAAUCUGUUCACUUGCAGCCAAAUUGAUGUUUCCGGGAGCCGGAAAGCUGUUGUUAUCCAUGUUCCCUACAGAUUAAGGAAAGCUUUUCGCAAGGUUCAUGUUAAGCUUGUGAGGGAACUUGAAAAGAAGUUCAGUGGCAAGGUAUGAUAAAGACUAAUAAGAUAUUCCUUCCUCCUUUCUACAUUGAGGGAUCGAGGUUUUGUUCCAAGUUCAAUAACAAUUUAGCUCAAUGGUUUUACUGUGUUACAUAAAUUUCAGUUUGUACUUGUGGUGGUGAUUUAUUGAUUAUCAAGUGGUUUGAUUGAUAAGUACAUGCUCUUGGUGUUAAGCUUUAAUGUAGUUUAUCCAUAUAUGAUAGGAUGUGAUUCUCAUUGCCACUCGGAGGAUACUGAGGCCUCCAAAGAAAGGUUCUGCUGUUCAGAGGCCGCGUAGCCGCACAUUGACUGCUGUACAUGAGGCAAUGCUAGAAGAUAUCGUCUUACCUGCCGAGAUUGUUGGAAAGCGCACUAGAUAUAGAAUCGAUGGAUCAAAGAUAAUGAAGGUAGAACCUCCAAUGUCAUACUACAUAGUAAUACUAGAAUUAGGUUUCUAAGUGUUGAUGAAAAAGCAAUGUGAUGUUGAAAAACUAAACGUAUAUUAGGAGGCUUGUUAUGAUUGUAGUCAUCUUUCCUAGUUCAUACAUCAAUUGCUUUUUUCAAAGGGCAUUUUUCAUACAAUCUUUGCCUUUUUGGCAGGUCUUUUUGGACCCAAAAGAAAGGAACAACACUGAGUAUAAGCUCGAGACGUUUUCUGCGGUUUACCGGAAGCUUGCUGGAAAGGAUGUUGUGUUUGAGUUCCCAGUUACAGAGGCAUAGAUAAGUAUUUUGUGUGCGUGUGUGUGUGUGUAUUUUAAGUGUUUUAACACCUUUCUGUCCUGGAAACUGCUUUUUAUGGAGGUAUUUAAAAUUUUGACAUUUAGGAGUUGUUAAGGAAGCAGAGAAAUGAUGGAUGGAUUUGUUUUGAUUAUGUGGUAUUGCUUUUGAUGGUGUAAGAUGAGUUUUAGAAAGGUUUUGUUAAUUUGGUUCUCAUCAGCUUUGUUAUUGAAGCAAAGGGACAAGAUACAUGGAAAUGGAAUAUACUAGAAACUAUGAAUCGAAAACGAUUAGAUUAGGUAAACAAGAUUAGUCUGAGUUGAGCUUGACUUAAAAUUCAGAGCUCGAUACUCGGGUUGAGCUCAAUCGAAUAUCUAUUUUUAAGCUCAAGCUUGAAUCAAGUUCAAUGGAAUUAAGUUCGAUUACUAAUUUUUGUACUCAAGCUCUAAUUUGAUAUUGAGUUGAGUUCCAUAUUUAAGUUUAGGGUUAAUGACAUAUUAAGAGUAAUAAUAUAAAAAAUAUAAAAAGAUAGAUAAGAUUAUAAGCUGUUCAAAUUGAAUAUUAUUAAGUUCAAAUUUAACUCGAUUGAUAGCUUUAGCUUGAAUUUAGCUUGAUUAUUAUCAAAUCGAGUUGAAUUUAUUUUGAGACAACUGCUUGCAAGUAUCAUUGUAUUGAGCAGUCGUAGGUAUUUUACGUGAAACCGACUUCAUACCUUCAAAUUACGUUUAUUUAAGGUAAUUUUGAUUCGAAUGAAUCUGAUAUAGUCUAAAUUAUUAUCUAAUAAUUAGAAGAUUUUUGUCAAAUUAAAUUAUUUAUACUAUAUUUUAAAUGAUUUCAUCCGUCACUCUUCUAAAAAAUAUUAACACACCAUACAUUUCAAGGUAACUAUAAUGUAAAUGUUUUUCUUAUAUAUUUUAAUAUAAAAUCAAUAAAAAUUUAAAAACUCACUGAGGUUUUAAUCUAAUACCAUAGUAUCUCAAUUUUUGGCUUAUCAUUUUAAUCAAGGAUUUUUAUGUAACCAUUUAAUAAAUAUAUUUUUAGCAUAUUUUUUUCAUCUACAUAGUGAGUUGGUCAUAAUCGAGUAAAUAUUAAUAGAACUAUUUUUAAUUUUUUAAUAUGAAAUGAAUAGUGAUUUAGGCUUUCGAGUUAGAUUGGUUGAGUUGAUUUAAAAAUAGGUUUAGAUAAAGAAUAAAAAAUGUUGGAUCCUGAUCGAGCUCAUUCUAUUAAUAGGUCAUUGUUAACUUUAUUAACUUUGAACUUAUUCCUAUUUUGACAUAACAAAGCCUUUUUUUUUUUUUUUGUAUAAACACAAUAUUAAGAGUAAAGAUGUUAUCUAAAUACCCGACUAAAUCUCUCACUAUCACUCCAUUCAAAUAACUUGAAUUUAUAUGUUUCUAUCAUUGCUUUUUAAUUUUUUCCUUUUUAAUAAAAGUGAACUUUAACUUUUUGGUUUUUCAAAUGUAACAUAAAUGUUUAGAAUGAUUUUGAGUUUUAUCAUUCCUAGAACACUAGAGGAUUGAUCCCUCAUUCACAACAGUAAAGAAAAUAUGACCUUUAGACACUAGAGGAUUUAUUCCCUUAUGACUGGGCAGCUUCCAGAACUCCACUUUUGUAGGUUGAAUGACUCUUCUCACCUUCAAACCAUUGUAAUAGUCUUAAAACUCUUUCAAGCUAUACAUACAAGUUUCCAACACUUCAACAAGGAUGGAACAUUGUUGAACAUCAAGAGAUUAAUACGUCAUUUGAUCAAUAGAGCAACAUCAAAUCUUAAUUUUUCAUCUCUCUUAAGUCUUUCUAAACUUAUUUGUGUUGCUACCUUAAAUUGCUUAUUUGCUUAAAAUGAAAAUUGUAAUGUAAGUGCUUGACUAAAAUGGCCGCUACGACUUAACAUUGCAGAAACUGUGCAAACAAAAUAAAGAACACCAAAGGUUUGUUUACACAGUUUGGUUUCCCUAUGUCUACAGAGCCUAACCCAGUGAGUAAUUCCGUUAUAUUUAAUCCACAAUACAACAAGUGAUUCACACUCUAUCGCUCCCCAAGAAUAGAUAUCUCACAUUUGUACCUAACGACUAGAACACUCACGUCCAAAUCCUCGUCCUAAGAACUUUGGCAGUAAACAUUCAAUAAGGUUUUACAAUUCAGUUUGCACUAUUUCACAAAACAGUUCCAUAAUGAAUAGAUUAGAAUGCACUCAAUAAGCUCUCAUACAAAACCUAGACAAGCCUCAAAACAUAUAUCAAUUUCGGCUUGCUAACAUAGAAUUUUAGUGAAUACAAAAGUAACUCAUUGAAAAUAGCUAUUACAUUAUUAACAACCAAACACAAUCAAUUGAAGAUAUGAUUUCCAAAACAUCACACAAUCUUGAUCGAUCCUUCACAUUGCAAGGAUUGAUUUGAUUUACUCAAAUCCAAUCUAAUAUUCAAACUCCAAGGAUUGGUUUUCAUAGAUGAACCAAAAUAUCUUCAAUAUAUCAUCACAUAACUGAGUCCAAAAAUUUUCUUCAUCAAAUCACCAACUCAAAUAUGACAAGUAUUUAAACUACCUUAGUAAUAGCUUGUAGUGUGCACUAUUGAGUGCCACUCAACAACAAUCAGCUUAUCUUGCCUCAACACUUUGUUUUUGUAAUCUAAAUAAAACUAGGGGAAAAUAAAAGCAAUUUGUUGGUUAUUGUCAUAUUUGCUUUGUUAAGCCCAAUUUUUGCCCGGACCCAAUCAAACCAGCCCAAAUUAAACACUCCACUAAACCGACCACUAACUCCAUCACCUUACUAAACCAUCCACUACCUCCAUCACCCCCACACCCUACUAAACCAUCCACUACCUCCAUCACCCCCACUAACUCCAUCACCGUACUUGUUAUAAGUUGUAAAAUUUGGCUAUAAAAGCCAUGGAAAAACUAUCGUAAGGGGGAAAUUUUUUAGAGAAUACACAUACGAAAUCAAAGAGAAUACAAAUCAGAUUUUUAAGGUAACUUUUUAUAUUAUUCAAUUUUGUUUACUUUGGCGUUCAUAUUUUUUCUUUACACAAACGAAAGAAGGAAAAAGAGAGGGAGUUUACCUCUGAUUUUAUUUCCUUUCUGAUUUGACCCUAAAGUUUUCAUUUUUAAUUCAAUUUAACCCCUUUUUUAUUUUUAUUAUUUUACUGUUAAAUUAAUUAAUUUGAGCUUUAUUCUCAUUAUUUUUAUAUUUGUUUUUUUUUAUUUUCUAUUAAUUUAAUUAAUUUGAGUUAUGUUUCAUAUUAUUAUAUUAUUUAUUUAUUAUUAUAUAUUUAUUAUGUAAAUAUAUAUAUUUUUAAGCGAAGUUAAUUAUUUUAAAUAUAAAUUUCUAUUAUACAUAGACUUAUUAUAUAUAUUUUUUAUACCAUUGUUUAUUAUCGGUUACCAUUUUUAUAUCAAAUUAUUAUUAUUUACUAUUUCUCACUAUUACUAAUUUAACAUUGUUAUUCCAAAUUUUUUCUACUAUUAUCCCCCAUUUUUAAUAUUAUCAUCAACAUAUUUUUUGUUAUUAUCAUCAUGUUUUUAAUAUUAUUAUUAAUACUAUUAGCAAAAUGUUUAUUACAUUAUUGUAUUUAUUAUUACUGCUAUUUUAUUAGUUAUUUCUAUUAAUUACUAUUAUUAUUAUUUUUUAUUAUUUAUAUAUGGUUAGCAUUAUUCUCAUAUUAUUAUUUUCAUGUUGUCUAUUAUCAUCAUUUUUAAAAAAAUCUAUGUCCUUAAUUCAUUUAUCCAUUGAUCUUCUCUCAAAAUUUUUCAAAAUAAAGGCAAUGUUCGGUAUUUAAAGAAUUCAAAAAAUCGUGCCCUAACGUACUGGGUUUCCCUUUCUUUGUUUGUCUUGAAUAUUCAAAUAUCCUCUUACCAGUUCACUCUAAAAAUUUUUCAAAAUAAAGGUAAUGUUCGGUAUUUAAAGAAUUCAAAAAAUCGUGCCCUAACGUACUGGGUUUCGCUUUCUUUGUUUGUUUUGAAUAUUCGAAUAUCCUCUUAAAGCUAAAACGCACGUUUUAACGGCAAGCUCACAAUUGAGGGUAAAAAAUGUUGUGUCCUAACGUACUGGAUGUAAUGUUUUACCUUGAGGUGAGAUGGUCUUUAAUACACAUUUGACUUACCUAAAUGUUUUAAAAGCCAAUAAAAGGAGGAUCGUGUUUUGAACUCUGUCCAAAUCUUUAAUUUUCAACAUUAAGACACUAAAUAAUCAAUCAAGUACCAAUUUUGGGCGUGUCGAGGGUGCUAAUCCUUCCUCGUACGUAACUGACUCCCGAAUCGGUUUUCUAUUUUCGCAGACCAAAAUCGUCGUUUUGAAAAAUUUAUUCAUUUAUUAAAAACGACCGUGUUUUGAGGUGAUCCAAUCACAUCUUAUUAAAAAUGAUUGGUGGCGACUCCCAACUUUUCAUUUUCAAAAGUCAAUUUCCCGUUUUCAAAAAAAUGGUUUCGACAGCUUGGCGACUCCACUAGGGACCAAUAAGAGAGUCGAGCUAUAAAUUGAUUUUUUUCUGUCUUCUUGUCAAAAGUUAGAAAUUCAGUUUUUUUAAAAAUACACGAUCCUCGCUUUGUAUUUUCUGUGUUCUUGUUGAGUUUGUUGUUUCGUUGAAUUUCUUUAUAUACUCUCGCAUCAUAUCGCAUGACCGUUGUGGUCACACCUUUUAAGUGGGAGUGAGAAACUAUGCUUUCGUGAGGUUUUCACCUCCGCAUGGGCUAGGGGAUCGCUUUCGGAAUACAUCCGUACUUAUGUCUUCGUGAGGUUUUCACCUCCGCAUGGGCAUAGGGAAAUGUAUUCCCCUGAACCGAACUUGAUCCAUAUGAACCUAUAAUGGGUGAGGAUCGAGGAAUCUGCUGGUUCAGGUGCCUUUACUCUAUAACUAAACCACAUAUAGUAAGCUGUAGGAGCCCGCCUUAGGUAGAAUUACACCUAGCCCUAGUGGUUUCCCGAAUAGGCGUUUGAUAAUUUCUUGAUUGCUUUGAUUUCUAUUCUUAUGCAUAAUUCUAACUUGUGUUUUUCCUUCUUUCUUUAAUAGUGAUUGCAUAACAUUUUCAUCAUAAAAGGAGGUGUCGAUAUACGGUUCGGUUACUAAUAGAAAGUUUUACCAUGAAGAACGAAUUCCUUGAUAAAGUGAAAGACAACGUGUUUGUCCAAAUAUGGUUGGAAAAUGCACAGUUAGAGAAAGGUGACAGUUUGAUAAAGGAGUACACGUAGGAGUUAUGGGACUUUACCCGUAUUAGUGUGGUUCAGAAUGAUCUUCAGGAGUUGAAAGAAUUAUAGAGUUACUAGAAUGAGGAGAUGAAGCAGCUACUCUACUGUAAUUAUGGUGAUAUUCCUUAUCUCCUCGAUGUUAAGGCAGAUAGGUAUUUGUUCUGCGCCAUGGCUCAAUUUUGGAAUUCCACCUACAGUUGUUUUACUUUCGGAAAGGUGGAUUUAGCACCUACUGUCGAGGAAUAUACAGCCUUGCUUCGUUGUCCGAGGUUUCAAGUUGAUAAGAUUUAUUCUAGAGCUGUUAAUACCCCAACCUUUGUAAAGAGGUUGAUGAACAUCACUGGGAUGAGUGAGCAGUGGGUUGCAACUCGAGCCCAGCAAAAAGGCAAUAGAAAGUGCAUCCCUUGGGAAAAUUAGAGAGAUCUGAUCCUGACCCACCCUGAUAUGAAGAAAAGAGUUAAUGUCUUCGCCUUAAGCGUUUAUGGUUUGGUUAUUUUCCCUAAGGCUUUAAGGCAUAUAGAUGAAGCAGUCACCGAUCUAUUUGACCGACUUGGUAAAGGAGUCACUCAUGUUCCUGCAAUCUUGGCUGAGACUUUCAGAUCUUUGAGUGCAUGUCGGAGGGCAGGUGAAGGCAGAUUUAUUGGGUGUGCACAAAUCUUGUUAGUAUGGUUUCAUAGCCACUUUUGGAAGGUAGAAAAGGCCUCUUACCGACAUUUUCUCGGAGAUUACUCACUUUUGAAGGAGAUAGUGACCAUAUCGAGAAGAGAUGACAUAACAGAGGAAAAAUGAAUGACGAUACUUCAAAAUCUCCAAGAGGAGGAUAUCGAAUGGAAAGCCCCUUGGAUGGUUUCCGAUGAGAUUUUCUACCGAUGUGGGAGUUAUGAUUGGGUCCUUUUGUUGGGGAUUUGGGGUGCCGUUGGAUACGCUCCUCUACUUGUAUUGAGACAAUAUAGAUCGAGAUAAUUUAUACCGAUGAUGCAUGGGUUAGCUCAGAGUGGGUUCUCGUAUGGGGAGAAAGACUCCAAGAAAAAGAGCCGCGAGAUUUAUAAUGCCUGGAACCAAACCGGCCGGAUAAAGAGAGUUGCUGUAAAUCCAAUAGUGACUCCUGAAUAUAAUAAAUGGUGGAGUAGAAGGGUUAACGACAAUAUCCCGAGGCCAAAUUUAGAAGAAGCUCGACCAAUAGAGGAAUAUCUACGAGUGGUCCCUUCCGAAUUAGAAAUCAUAAAGUAAGACUUCGAAAAGAAAACCUCAGAGUUAGAAAGGAAAAUAGAGUAGUUGGAGGAGGAAAAAGUGUACUUAAAGCUGGAUGUUGAUGUUCAAAAAUCCGAGGCUGAGAAUUUAAAGAAGAGAAAAAGAGAGGUUGAGGAGGACCUGGAUAGUCUGAAGACUGAUUACAAGCAGCUAUAUAAGUUAAUGAGAAAUGCUGGCUUGGGUAAAACGUCUGAAUAAUAGAGGCAAAAAAUCCAAGAGGAAAAGGCUAGGGCUGAUUGGUGGGAGAAAAAGUUUUAUGAUGCUCAAGCUCGAGAAGUCACUUGUAAAAAGAGUUUGGAUGAUAGCCAGAAUGAAAAAUAGAUGUUAAGAGCUCGGGUGACAGAGUUAGAAAUGACACUACAGCAACAUCGGAGUCGUAACUCAGUGAUUAAAUUAAGGGCUAGCCUAAGUAAGAUCGAGAAUUUGAAGGAGAAAGAAGAAGAACUUGAGACUACACUUCAGAACUGUGAGAAUCAAAUUGAUUUAUUGGAAGCAAAUAAUGAGCAACUAGGGGAGCAGCUUCACCGAUCUCAAGAUCAGGUCCGAGAUAGGGAUUACCUCAUGGGCAAAGCUAUAGCUCAGAUACGAGAGGUGGCUGAUCAGUUGCAGACUUUGGCGGUCCAAGCAGAUGUGCUAGGAGUUAAAUAUAAGUUAGAGUCAGAUCGGAGGCGAGAGUUAGCCUGCCUUCUUAGGAAAGUAAAAGCUUUGGGUGCUAGGGCAAGACCGUAUAUGUAAUUCAUUUUAUGUAAAAGAUUUUGUUUUUCAGUGAAGUUUUCUAAAUGAAAUUGAAUUCGAAUCGACGUCUCCUUUUUGCAUUCAUGUCAUGCAUUUGCAUUGCAUAGCAUCAUAAAAAUUAAGUUUCACAAAAGAACCCUAUUAAUUAGUGAUAAUUUAUCUAGUUACCCUAGAACAUCGUUACUAUACACGGAGGAAAACAAAGGAUAUGGAUCAGAGGUUAGAGAAAUUAGAACAAAUACAAAAGGAGAUGCAGGAGCAACUGCAAGCUCAGAUGCAAGAACAGCUGGCUAGGAUCUAGCAGGAGAUGAGGGAUCAAAUGCUGGAGUCCCAGAAAAACAUGCUAGACAACAUGAUGAGCCAGCUGACACAGCUGCUGAAGGGAGGGUUUGACAAAGGAAAGGGCCCUAUGGGUGAUACUGGGAAUGACAAUGAUAACUCUGCUUGUCCUACAAGCUUUGCCCCAGUAAACAUUCAAACACAGCCACCAAGGGUGUCUGUUAAUGUUAAACCUCUGUAUCAAGCCGGUACUUCGGCACCGGUAAACUUCCCAAUGGGCUCAUGCUCUAACCCUGGAGACAAUAUGGCAAAUCCCACGAUCCCUGAUUUCAAUGAGGUUGAAGGGGAAAAAGUAAAGGCGGAGCUCCCAAAGUAGUUCGAGGAUCAGUGCAAAUGGAUAGAGGAGAAGUUCAAGGAGCUAGAAAGUGCUGAUCAUUAUUGCGGAGUUGACGUAAAGAAACUCAGUUUGGUCCCGGACUUAGUACUUCCUCCGAAGUUCAAGAUGCCAGAAUUUGAAAGAUAUAAUGGAACCAGCUGCCCUGAGGCUCAUAUUACAAUGUUCUGUCGGAGAAUCACGGAAUAUGUCAACAAUGACCAAUUGUUGAUUCACUGUUUUCAGGAUAAUUUAACUGGGGCCGCAGCCAAAUGGUACAAUCAGUUGAGCCGGGCUCAGGUCAAAUCAUGAAAGGAUUUGGUGCAGGCAUUCAUGAAACAGUAUGGCCAUGUGACCGAUAUAGCGCCUGAUAGGAUGACAUUACAGAUCAUGGAGAAAAGGUCAGGUGAAAGCUUCAGGAAAUACGCCCAGAGGUGGAGGGAAGUCGCUACGCAAGUCCAACCACCACUGUUGGAAAAAGAAACGACUAUGCUGUUUAUUAAUACCUUGAAGGCACCUUUCAUUAAUCAUAUGUUGGGGAGCGCGACUAAGAGUUUCGCAGACAUAGUGAUGUCUGGUGAAAAGAUAGAAAAUGCAAUAAGGUGCGGGAAGAUAGAAACGGGGGAAAGCACGAGAAGGUCAGCCCUAAAGAAAAAGGAAAGCGAGGUAAGCAAUGUAAGCUCAGGCUAUUCAAAACCUGUCACCGUUAAUCAAUCAAGAACGGUAGUCACAGGCCAACAAGUUGCACCAAGGCAGGAGUCCAGCACAAAGAGAAAUACGGAGAUGAUACAGUUUACCCCUAUCCCAGUAACAUAUAAGGAGCUAUACAAAAUAUUAUUUGAUGCACAUGUUGUAGCACCGUUCUACUCAAAACCCGUGCAACCUCCAUGCCCUAAGUGGUACAAUGAAAACGCCCAAUGCGAAUACCACGCGAGAAUCACGGGGAAGUCGAUAGAAAAUUGCAUCCCUUUUAAGAAGUUAGUCGAAAGGCUCGUUGAAAUGGGUAUUGUGAAGUUCGACAACAGAUCUGGCAUAGAAAAUCUGUUACCCAACCAUGCUGAUGAGGGGGUAAACGCAAUAAUUAAUGAUGCGGAGAAAAAAAUUUGAUAGGCAUUCACCUUUACAUACUUGGGAGUGUUUUAAACGAUGGGACGGUGGAAAAGAUCCCUGUAUUUUUUAGGGCUAAUCUAGAGUCAUAUUCAAAACACACUUGUUGCUUUAAGCAUAGAGGCAAUAAGAAUCCUUUUGUGAAAUAGGCUUAUGUCUAGCAUCUUUAUUUCAAUGAAAUACAUUCUUUUGUUUCUUAUUUCAAACAUCUGUUCUUUACCAUUUCAUUCAUGAUUAUACCACACGAGUAAAUAUUCUUGGUUUCUCUUGUUCUUCAAAUUUUCUUUCAUCCUUAUAACAGGUCUCCAGAUAUCAAUGAUAUGAUUGACACUGUUGCUAACUUAGAAUCUCCUUUUGAGCGAGAUAUGUGUUUAGUGGGACCUCAAGACUUUGAAGAUGACUAAGAUUGUAGCUUAUCUCCUGAUCUGUUGAUGACGGUAAACAAGAUGAGAAGCAAACCUCAUGUUGCAAAGAAUCAGUUAAACCCAUAAUCUUCUUCUAUAUGGGGCAUGUGUGCCGCCAGUCUGAUUUCGCCAAAAGCCUCUGACGAGUAUCGAUUUUUUUUGUGGUCGUCGAUUAUGUUGCCAAGUGGAUAGAAGCUGCCUCAUAUGUCAAUGAUGCGAGGUCAAUAGCCAGCAUUUUCUAUGUUAGUAUGGAGUACCGAAAGGGACCAUAUCUGACGAUGUACUAAAUUUAAAUAGCAGUACGAUAUCUGAAGCAUCCGGGCUGUUCAAUAUUAAAUACCAUAUCGCCCGAAAAUGAACGGUGCCAAAAAAAAAAGAGAUCAUUGGAGCCUCUAUCAGAACCUCUACUGGGGCAACGUUUUUCGUUGAUUUAUGGAAUGAAUGCAAUUUUGGCAAGGUCUCUUCUCCACGAGUUUCGUCAGAGUUAAGUAAAUCUGAUUCCGAUGAUCAAGUGAACUUGAUUGAAAAAGGAGGUCAAAAAUUAUCCGUUACGGUCAAAUGAUACGAAGUGAUGUCGGAAAGAUCAUUCUAGAAAAUUUCAUCAACAAAACUUAGUUUUGAGAAGGAUCUUUCCCAUACAAAAGAAUCUCAGUGAAAAUGGAUGUUAAAUUGGGAAUGACCUUAUCCCUGGUGGGGGCAUUGAUGUUGAUUAAGAUAAAUGGCAAGAACUUGCUUAACCCUGUGAACUUGGAUUUAAUCGAAGAAUACUUCACUUUCAAAAAAAAUAGAAGAGAAAAAGGACAAAGAAAAAAGGAAAAGGAAAAAGAAGAGAAAAAUAAAAAAAGAGAAAGAAAAGAAAAGCAAAGGAAAGGCCAAUGCGAAAACCCGUAAAGGGCGCUUUGAGACCAAAGGGGAUUUGAGUUGAAAACCCGACAAUGGCGGCUCAAAUUUAGAUCAAAAGUGGGGCAUACAGUAGUCUUACUAUGCCUGAGUUAACAAUGAGGAAGUAUGCUACAUCUUGUGGGCAUUGACAAAGUACUUCGGAUCAUCUAAACACAUGUUGAGCUCAAAUGGUCAUCAAGAAGUUUGCACAGAGAAGCUCAAGCUGCGAUAUCUGGGGCACUUAAUUUUUUAUCUUACCCAUGUUUACUAUCCUUGGCUGCCUUAUUCUUUUCGAGAUACGCCCCAAUCAUUUUUAUUUUAUUACCUUGGAUAUCUCCGAUUACUUUAAUUGUUGCGAGCUAUGCUCUUAAUUAAUUUCAUUCUUAUCCCUUGCCAUGAUCUCUUUCAAGCAUUUCGCAUUGAAAUAUAGAUUAAAAUAUUUCCACAAAGGAGAUUCUGCUUAUGACUCUAGAAGUUUCUAAAUAAUACGGGAACCUGAAACAGGACUGUUGUUUAGAAUUUACCGAGCCUAAGGGUUGGAAUUGUCUGAGGGACUACCCCUUAAGAUUUUCUGUCAAAUAUAUCAGAGACAAAUAUUGCAUCGAAGGUACAAUCUUGACGAAUAGCAAGCAAUGUCAACCCAAGCUUUAAAAGGGGAUCAUUCUCAAGAGAAAGAUGGUAUUUUGCAUCCAUGCAAAUAUCAAGCAUAUACAUCUAGUCAUGACACCCAAGGAAUGGUGUAGCAGACCAAAUUAAUGGAAGAAGAGUCAAAUCCUGUACCCUUAAAAUUGCGGGGGGAAUGAAUUGAAGAGGAAUCAGAUUAUAUUCCCCCGAGUUGCAGUAGGAGAGUUUGAAGAUGGUGCAAGCCUUAUAUCCCAUGAAGUACAGUGGACUGGACCUUGAAAUUAUAGUGGGGCAAACCGGUUGAAGAAAAUGGAUUGUUUCUAUGAGUUUUCUGUCAGAAAGUAGCAGCUGAACAAGAAAGACUCAUGUCAGUGAAGCGAUAGCCUUAACAGACAGCGAGUUAUGGUAGCCCAAGCAUUAAAAUGGGAUUAUUUUCAUGACAUUCUGCAUUCGUACAAAUGUCAUUCAUAAUACAUUUAGUUAGGGGCAUUUGAUUCAUGCUGAUCAUAGCAUCCUAAUCGUUUAGCAUAAGCAUAAAUCACAGGAAAUCACUUCUACAGAUGGAUUCCCCAGUGGACAGUGUAGUAAAAUUGAUUAAAAUUAUAGAUUUUGGCAAGUCUUAUCCCACUGAGCAGGAGUGGAACAGGCUAAAUAUAGCAGAUCUCAUCCUACUGGCAGGAGUGGAAUAGAUCAAAUUUCGACAGAUCUUAUCUUCGCUGAUCAGGAGCGGAGCAGAUCAAAUUUUGGCGAAUCUUACCUCAAUGUAUAGGCAAUUGAGCAGAUUUCAGACACCAGCCUUAUCUUCACUGAGCAGGAGUGAAGCAGACUAAAUAUAGCAGAUCUCAUCCCACUGGUUGGAGUGGAACAUAUCAAAUUUCGACAGAUCUUAUCUUCGCUGAGCAGGAGUGGAGCAGAUCAAAUUUUGGCGAAUCUUAUCUCCAUGUAUCGACAAUAGAGCAGAUUUCAGCCACAAGCCUUAUCCUACUGAGAAGGAGUGGAACAGGUUAAAUAUAGCAGAUCUCAUCCCACUGGAAGGAGUGGAACAGAUCAAAUUUCAGCGGAUCUUGUCUCCAUGUAUCGGUAAUGGAGUAGAUUUCAGCCAUCAGCCUUAUCUUCACUGAGCAGGAGUGGAAUAGGCUAAAUAUAGCAGAUCUCAUUCCACUGGCAGGAGUGGAACAGAUCAAAUUUCAGCGGAUCUUAUCUCAAUGUAUCAGCAAUGGAGCAGAUUCAAACCACCAGUCUUAACCCCCUAAGCAGUAGGGUAACAGGCUAAAAACUACAUAUCUUGUCUCAUUAAGCAAUAGUGGGACAGAUUAAAAACAGCAGGCUUUAACUCCCUAAGCAAUAGGGUAACAAGCUGAAGAUUACAGAUCUUAUCUCCCUAAGUAAUAGUGGAGCAGAUCAAAGAUACACGCUUUAACUCCCUAAGCAAUAGGGUAACAAGCUAAAGAUUAUAGAUCUUAUCUCCCUAAGCAAUAGUGGAGCAGAUCAAAGAUACAUGCUUUAACUCCCUAAGCAAUAGGGUAACAAGCUAAAGAUUAUAGAUCUUAUCUCCCUAAGCAAUAGUGGAGCAGAUCAAAGAUACACGCCUUAACCCCCUAAGCAGUAGGGUAACAAGCUAAAAUUUACAGAUCUGGGCUCGCCGAGCAGUGGCGGAGCAGGUCGAAGACUCGCCUUAACCCCCUAAGCAGUAGGGUAACAGGCUAAAGUUUACAGACUUGGGCUCUCCGAGCAGUGGUGGAGCAGGUCAAAGACUCGCCUCAACCCCCUAAGCAGUAGGGUAACAGACUAAAAUUUACAGAUCCUGGCUCUCUAAGCAGUGGUGGAACAGGUCGAAGAAUCGCCAUAACCCCCUAAGCAGUAGGGUAACAGGCUAAAAUUGCAGAUCUUAUCUUCGUUGAGCAAGAGCGGAUCAGAUAAAGUUCCAACAAAUCGUAUCUUCAUUUAGAAGCAAUAGGAUGCAGUGGGUUGCAAUAAGGUUACACCGAGAAGCCAAGAUCUGACAGGACCGGGCAAAAUUGGCCUUUGUAAUCUUUGCUUUGUUCCCAUUACAUGACAACGAGCAAAGAGCGGCAGCUGUUAAGCCCAAUUUCUGCCCGGGCCCAAUCAAACCAGCCCAAAUUAAACACCCCACUAAACCGACCACUAACUCCAUCACCCUACUAAACCAUCCACUACCUCCAUCAGCCCCACACCCUACUAAAUCAUCCACUACCUCCAUCACCCUCACUAACUCCAUCACCCUACUUGUUAUAAGUUGUAAAAUUUGGCUAUAAAAGCCAUGGAAAAACUAUCGUAAGGGGGAAAUUUUUUAGAGAAUACACAUACGAAAUCAAAGAGAAUACAAAUCAAAUUUUUAAGGUAACUUUUUAUAUUAUUCAAUUUUGUUUACUUUGGCGUUAAUAUUUUUUCUUUACACAAACGAAAGAAUGAAAAAGAGAGGGAGUUUACCUCUGAUUUUAUUUCCUUUCUGAUUUGACCCUAAAGUUUUUAUUUUUAAUUCAAUUUAACCCCUUUUUUUAUUUUUAUUAUUUUACUGUUAAAUUAAUUAAUUUGAGCUUUAUUCUCAUUAUUUUUAUAUUUGUUUUUUUUAUUUUCUAUUAAUUUAAUUAAUUUGAGUUAUGUUUCAUAUUAUUAUAUUAUUUAUUUAUUAUUAUAUAUUUAUUAUGUAAAUAUAUAUAUUUUUAAGCGAAGUUAAUUAUUUUAAAUAUAAAUUUCUAUUAUAAUAGACUUAUUAUAUAUAUUUUUUUAUACCAUUGUUUAUUAUCGGUUACCAUUUUUAUAUCAAAUUAUUAUUAUUUACUAUUUCUCACAAUUACUAAUUUAACAUUGUUAUUCCAAUUUUUUUUUACUAUUAUCCCCCAAAUUUAAUGUUAUCAUCAACAUAUUUUUUGUUAUUAUCAUCAUGUUUUUAAUAUUAUUAUUAAUACUAUUAGCACAAUGUUUAUUACAUUAUUGUAUUUAUUAUUACUGUUGUUUUAUUAAUUAUUUCUAUUAAUUACUAUUAUUAUUAUUUAUUAUUUAUAUAUGGUUAGCAUUAUUCUCAUAUUAUUAUUUUCAUGUUGUCUAUUAUCAUCAUUUUUAAAAAAAUCUAUGUCCUUAAUUCAUUUAUCCAUUGAUCUUCUCUCAAAAUUUUUCAAAAUAAAGGCAAUGUUCGGUAUUUAAAGAAUUCGAAGAAUCGUGCCCUAACGUACUGGGUUUCGCUUUCUUUGUUUGUCUUGAAUAUUCGAAUAUCCUCUUACCAGUUCACUCUCAAAAAUUUUCAAAAUAAAGGCAAUGUUCGGUAUUUAAAGAAUUAGAAAAAUCGUGCCUAACGUAUUGGGUUUCACUUUCUUUGUUUGUUUUGAAUAAUCGAAUAUCCUCUUAAGGCUAAAACGCAUGUUUUAAAGGCAAGCUCACAAUUGAGGGUCAAAAAUGUUGUGUCCUAACGUACUGGAUGUAAUGUUUUACCUUGAGGUGAGAUGAUCUUUAAUACACAUUUGACUUACCUAAAUGUUUUAAAAGCCAAUAAAAGGAGGAUCGCAUUUUGAACUCUGUCCAAAUCUUUAAUUUUCGACAUUAAGACACUAAAUAAUCAAUCAAGUACCAAUUUUGGGCGUGUCGAGGGUGCUAAUCCUUCCUCGUACGUAACUGACUCCCGAACCGAUUUUCUAUUUUCGCAAACCAAAAUCUUCGUUUUGAAAAAUUUAUUUAUUUAUUAAAAACAUCCGUGUUUUGAGGUGAUCCAAUCACAUCCUAUUAAAAACGAUUGGUGGCGACUCCCAACUUUUCGUUUUCAAAAGUCGAUUUCCCGCUUUCAAAAAAAUGGUUUCGACAUGCUUUUUUUGACACAAUGCCUAGAACUAUCCAUUUCCAACUCUUAAAUAAGAGGAUAAUGCGUUUCAGCACAUUUGAUCCAACGUCCUCCUGUACUGGCAAUAAUGCCGAUGUCAAUUGAGUUAAGACUCAAUCGACAAGUGAAAUCAAUUUCUAAAAGAUAAUUCUUUUUAAAUACUUUAUUAAGGUAUUAACAUAAAUUAUUAAAUAUUAAUUAUAACUAUUGUUUAAAUAAGUAAUUAUUAGAAUAAUUUUAAUAUGCCAUUAAGAUAUUAUUUAUUUAAAUUAAGGAAUAAAUUUAUCAUUUUUUAUAUAUUUCUUGUAUAUCCCUUAACAAUAAUUCAACCAACCAAACAAUAUAGUACCAUUACAAAUAUUUAUUCUUUAUUCUAGUCGCACUAUAUUCCAUUCCCACCUUAUUACAUUCAGUGAACCAAACAUGAUAUAAAUGUUUUGUGACUUGGAUUAGGUUUAUGGGAUCUUAAAGUUCGAGAUUGAAGAUCGUCAAAAAUGAAACAAAGAGUUAAAACAGGUAAAAUGGAGCAUGGAUCGAAGUUAAGUGACCUUACCCAAGCCGAGCACCCUUACCUUGAGCUAACACCCUAGCAUGCAAUUGCACGUUCCUCAUCAGUGCCCCUGUACUGUCCUAGUGCCGUAAUGCUCUAGUCAGCACACCCUUGCGUUGAUUCCUAGCACCCAAUGACAACUUUAAGGGUAUUUUGAUCUUUUAUCAGCUCUACAAUUUCAAGCAAGCUAUUGUAACCUGGUUUAGGUUAAUUAGACCAUAUAAAUUGGAUAUUUUAAAAGGGAGUUAGGACCUUUUUAUAAUUUUAGGCAUUAUAUAUUAUUUUAUUGUUUGUUGUGUGUGUGUGUGUGUGUGUGUGUGUGUGUGUGUGUGUUUACUUUAUAGUUUUUUAAACUCUUUUUUCUAGCUGAAGGGUUGUCAAAAUUUGAUUCGACCAAUUUGUGAUACUUAAUUUGUUUUUAAUAUUUUUUGUUCUUUAGUAUUUGUACAUCUUCUGCUUAAAUUACAAUUGUACAUGUUUGUUAAGUGUUUGACCAGUAUUUGAUAACUUAGAAUAAUUAUCUUGUCAAUUAGAAUAAUCAAAUCUGUAAACAUUCAUUCUAAUACUUGUGACGAAUUGCAUAACUGUGUAUCUCAUAACAUAUGAUUUAUGUGGUGUGGAUGUGCGAUCUAGUUUAAAUAAACUCUGUUGAGGUGAGUUUGUUGGUUAGAAUUAGGUUUCUCUCAUUCUUAAUGCUAUUGACAAGUUAAAUCUUAAGCUUUGAGAUACAAGAUUAUUUAUUGGUUAAUGAAGUAAUUUCAAAUAAGUUGCCUCUUGGUUGUUAAGAAUACUUCAUACUAUAUUUUUUCAUUAUUCUAAGUGCUGUACAUACACAUAUAUAGAGUACAUGCAUGAAGGCUGUAACUGCUAGUUAACUAAUAACUACUAUUGUUAACUAACAACUUCUUUAAUUGUUAUUCUAACAUUCCCCUGGUUUCUUCAACUUUUGAGAGAACUUUAAGAGCUUGUCGAAAUGAGACAAAUUGUUUUGGUGAAAUUGGCUUGGUAAGGACAUCUGCAACUUGUUUAACCGAAGGAACAUAGUUAACCUGUAAGGUACCAUCAAGAACUUUUCCUCAAAUAAACCGGUGAUCGAUCUCAACAUGUUUCAUUUUAUCAUGAUGAGUAGGAUUUGGAACUAUGGAGACUGUAGAGGUGUUGUUGCACCAGACUACAUGCGACUGAGAAAAUGUCAGACUGAUUUCAUUAAGUAGUUGUUUAACCCAUAGCAGCUCGGAUACACAGUUGGCUAGACUACGAUACUCUGCUUCAGAAGAUGAUCGGGACACUAUAGCUUACUUUUUGGAGCUCCAUGCAACAGGGUUGGGUCCCAGAUACACCACAUAACCUGUAGUAGAGCGACAGUCUUUAAUAGACGAGGCCCAGUAAGCAUCAGAGUAGCACACUACUUCAGCAUGUCAUUUGGAAAAGUACAAGCCAUGAUCAACAGUCCCACUAAGGUAUCUGAGCACUCGUUUCACAGCUUUCCAGUGAUUUUCACUCGGAAGAUUCAUAUAUUCACUUAGUUUGUUAACACAGAAUGAUAAGUCUGGCCAUGUUAUGCAUAUGUACUGAAGCAUACCUACUGCUAUGCUUCGGUAUAAAUGAGCAUCUGGAAAUAGAAAGCUAUCAUUUGCUGUAGUCAACUUAGGUGUGCUCACUAUGGGGGUUGGUAUAGCAGCUGCACCCAGCAUUCCAGUCUUGGUAAGUAUUUUUGACACAUAUUUCUUUUGACUGAAGAGCAACCCUUGUGUCAUGUACUAAACUUCAAUGCCUAGAAAGAAAUUCAGUUGUCCCAUAUUUUUUAGAGUAAAUUUGUUGUUGAGCUGACAGACCGCAUUAUUAAUAGAAGCAUUUGAGCUACCUGUGAUAACAAUAUCAUCAACAUAGACCAUAAGAAGUAAGAUGUUGUUAGAUAAUUUUCGAAUGAACAAUGAGUUAUCAGUCUUCGAUGGACUAAAACCAAACUGAGUCACCAGAAACCGUUUGAGAGUGGGAAACCAUGCUCUAAGGGCUUGGCGCAGGCAAUAUAGUGCUUUGUUCAACCUGCACACCAGUUUUGACCAUCUGUACCUGAGACCUCAAACCCAAGAGGUUGAUCCAUGUAGAUUUCUUCUAUCAGAUCGCUGUUGAGGAAGGCGUUGUUGACAUCAAUUUGCCUCAAGAACCAGCCCUUCAUAACAGUAGUAGCACAAUUCAAAUGGUUGUUACUCGAACCACGGGGCUGAAAGUAUCUCGAAAAUUAAGGCCAGCAUGUUGAGAGAAGCCUUUUGUGACCAACCGUGCUUUAUACCUUUCUACUGUCCCAUCUGCCUUCUUUUUUACUUUAAAUAGCCAUUUGCAACCAACAAUUCUUCGAUUUGCAAGUAGAGGACAAAGAGUCCAUGUGUUAUUUUGAAGUAAAGCUAGAAGCUCACUUUGCACGGCUGCUGUCCAACUUGUAUUCGUCAUAGCUUCAUGAAUAUCAGCAGGAGUAUCACUUGAUAAAUCAGCUGCUUUGACCAUGUAUGCCUUAGGUUUGAAAACACUAGCUUUACUACGGGUGAUCAUGGUAUGAGAGUUGAGAAGAGCUGAGAGGGGAGGCGAUGGAUGGAACGAACUAUUGAUAAGUAUACUCAAGGACAAAUUGGAGGGAUGAUUAAUGGAUAUACUAGGAGAAGCAGACCUACACAGUGACUGAUGAGCAUGGAGGGAGUUAACUAGGGGGUUAUCAUGUGAUGUACGGAUGGAAACGCCAGGUAUAGUAUUAGGAGAAGAGAUGGGAGUAGGUAGGUAAUGGGGAGUCAGUACAAGAAGUUUGGUACUAGUGUCACGGGUCAGAGUGCAAAUCCAGUGACCAUGGUACAAGAUGUGCCCAUAGAGGUCUGUCGAUAAGAUGGGGAUCAUUUAGCCCACGAGAAUUGGCCCGAUUCAAGGAACUAUUAGAGAAGCCUGUCAGAUUGAAGCCUGGUUGGCCCGAUAGAGAAGAUAUGGCAACUUAGGCAACUAUGGUAAUUAAUCUUAAAAGAUAAAGAGAAUCAUAUCUUGUAAAUAGUAGAUAGGAUUUGAUAUGGUAAUAUCUUGUAAAUCCCUUAAAUCAUGGAAUAUGGUUAAUCUCGUCCGUCGAUGUAAAUGUAUCUUGUCCGUCGGUUUUGAAGGAGCUCAAGUAUAAAUAGAGAGCCUCCCCCUCAUUUGUACUCACUCCAUUUAUUGUUUCAUUAUUCUUUGUGAAUAAGAGAAUAGAGAGCAUUUACUCAAAUACUUUGCGAGCGCUCUUUCUGUUGUUCUUUUGGUUGCUUCUUUUGGCAUAAAUCGCUUCCGCUUUUUAAUUUGGUGCCUUGGAGGAGUUCUUAAAGAAUCCUCACUCGAGUAAAGGCUGACUUAGGCGAGUUUGAAUGAGUGAAUCGUUUAAGGCCACACGGAUUGCAAGACGAAAGGUAUAGCCCCGUGACAAGUAGUAUAAGAGCUAUUGGUUCGAAGGCACUGUUGGGAUGUCGAAAGAAGUUAUUGGUCAGAAGAGCUAAUGGAGACCCGAGGAAGGGUCAGAAAAGCGAGUCGGUCAAGGUAGGGGUGUUCAGUCAGUUAACCGACCCGAAAUACCAUUAACCGAAUUAACCGACCUCUUAAAAUUUUUAACCGUUAACCGAACCGAAUUUUAAAAAAAAAAAUUAACUGAACCGAAAUUUUUUCGGUUAAUUCAGUCGGUUAACCGAAUUAACCGAAAAUUAUAUGUUUUUUAUUUUUGGUUAAAAAUUAACUGAAUUAACUGAAUUAACUUAAUUAACCGAAUUAACUGAAUUAAAUCACUACAUAAUUAAAAAUAUUACACAAGUCUUUGAAUCACUAUAUAAUAAAAAAACAUUACAUAAGUCUUUGAAUCACUACAUAAUUAAAAACAUUACAUAAGUCUUGAAAUUAACACAUAAUUGAAAUGUAAGUCUUUAAUAUUCUCCAUUGUAUCUGUUUCUUCUCUCUAAAAUAUCUCUAUUUGCAUUAAACCUACAAAAAAAAAUUUAGCAUAUAAUAGAAAUAUACGCAUUUAAAAAAAAUCAAAUAAUAUAAACAAACGAAUAGAUUAUAAGUUAACAAGAAUAAGAAAGUAAGCAUAUCCUUCAACUCACGAAAGCUCAUGAAUUUAGGGUAGGCUCUGAUGCAUUCCAAGAAAAGUCUAAACAUUGAAUCAAUUAAAUAAGUAGGAGUAAUAUGGUAAAAAAAUUGAAACUAUUAAAAUAAAACAAUAAAUAUACCAUUUUCAAUCUUGUCAAGCUCUUGGAUUUGUUCUUCAAUCUUUUUUAUGUCCUCUUGUGAUAAUAAUUUUCGAAUCCAAUCUUGAGUACACACUAGAGCUUGUACAAUUUUAGGAGUUAAAGAACUCCUAUAUUGAUCAAGCACACGUCUCCCGGUGCUAAAUGCAGACUCCGAAGCAACCGUAGAAACCGGUAUAGCUAACACAUCUUUGGCCAUUUUUGAGAGAGUGGGAAAUCUAGGGCUAUUCACUUUCCACCACAAUAAAAUAUCAAAAUUUUCAACAAAUUCCUCAUUAGCCUCAGCUAGAUAUUUAUCCAACUCAGAUGUUUUAUCCUCACCACAAAUUUCCAACUCACGCUUUUUAUACAAAGCUUGCAUUCGCCUUUUCAUUUUUUGUUGUGGUUCACCGAGAGAAACAUGUGUUGGCACACUCAAUUGGCUACAAGUACUAUGAAGUGGAGGCUUAUACUCAUCAAACAAUUCAUACAAAGAUUCUUUCAAUUUUUGCAUCAUUUCACAAGCUUUUUCAGAACUAGACAUUUCACUAAGUGCAAAUUUAAGAUACUUCAGUUUUUUUCUAGGAUCUAAAACACAAGCAACAAACAUAAGCAAAUUCAUCUUAUCAAUAUCACCCCAAUACUUAUCAUACUUCUCUUUCAUCUUGAUGGUCAUAACAUUGAAAUCAACAUUACUAUUUAACUGAACAUCUCGUAAAAGAAUAUCAAUUUCAGAAAGCUCAUCAAAAAAAUUAUUGGACGUGACAUAUGAAGUGCCAGAUAUACGCAAAGUGACUUCAUAAAAGUGUUCCAAGAAAUCCCUCAAGUUUCUAACAUUAUCCCAAUCAUCCACACUAGGCCAACCCUCUCCCCUUUUAAGUUCUGCCCUAAAGUUUGUAUCUUGCUCCUCAAAUCUCUUAAAAGCUCUCUCAAAGUUCUGUGCUGUGUCUAACAUUAAGUAGGUCGAGUUCCACCUAGUACAAACAUCAAGAAACAACAUCUUCUUGCACUCUAUCUUUUCCACCACAACACACUCCUUAAAUUUUUGUAAUCUAGCUGGAGAUUGUCUCACAUAUCUAACAGCCCCCUAACACAUUCAAUAGAUUUAUUCAUUUCCUUUAAGCCUUCAACAACAAUCAAAUUCACAAUGUGUGCCAUGCAUCUCAUAGGAAGAUAUCUACCAUUUUGAACUAAACCCCCUCGAGGGUUAAAUUUCUUUCUCAAAUAACCAAUAGCAACAUUAUUUGAACUUGCAUUAUCAACAGUAACAGUAAACAACUUAUCAAUCCCCCAAUUCAACAAGCAUUUCUCAAUCACCAUCCCAAUGGACUCACCCUUAUGACUAGAAAUUGGACAAAAGUUUAAAAUCUUUUUAUUCAAUUUCCAAUCGUUAUCAAUAAAGUGAGCAGUGAUACACAAAUAAUUAACACUUUGCAAAGAAGUCCAUGUGUCAGUAGUUAAGCAAACUCUAGAACAAGAACUUUUCAAAAGUUGUUUUAUCUUGACCCUUUCAUUUAAAUACAAUUGAUAAACAUCCCUAGUCAUAGUAGUUCGUGAAGGAAUAUGAAACCUAGGACAUGCCACAAACAUAAAUUUCUUAAAGCCUUCACUUUCAACAAACUUGAAAGGUAAUUCAUCAAUCACAAUCAUUUGUGUUAAUCCUUUCCUACAUGCUUCUUGAUCAAAUCUCCAAGUUGAAAGAUGUCGUCCCCCUCUUCAACUCCCUUUCUAGGUAAAACUAAUUGUCCUUGACUAGUGUCAAUAACAUUGCUAGGAUUUUUCUUACAUGAACCAAUAUGAUAUUUCAAUGACCUUGUACCAUUUUUUUUCAUAUCGCAACAAAAUUCCUUUUGACAAUAAUUACAUUUAGCCUUACUUGCACCCUCACUAUUAAUAAUCUUAGUGAAGUGAGACCAAACUUCUGACCUUUGAGGAGUGACUUUUCUUUUCCCAGUAGUCCCCUUUGCUUGGCUUGAAGCUCGAAUUCUCGAAUUUUCAGAAUCUAUUGAAGUAGGAGGUGUAAUACUACCCUCAAUAGAUGUUGGUUCGGUGGACAUUCUGCAAGAAAAAAAUAUAUAAUAAAUUAAAAUACAUUUAUAAUAUUAAACAUUUGAUGUUGAGUUUUAGAGAAAUAAAUUCUGCUUUUAUCCUUGUCUAAUAACUUCUUGCAAACAAGAAACCAAUUUGUUAAAAAAAUAGUUAAUAGGAUAAUGCAGGCACAUAUAUUAACAGCCACAUAAUUUUUUUUUUACAACACAUACAUACAAAUCUCAAUGAAUCAAUUAAUCUUAAAAUAAAUAAAUUACAGUUAAUAGGAUAAUUUACCCUUCGACAACAAAUAAAAAUAAGCAAAAAUUACAACAAUAAAUCAAUGAAUCUUAAACUAAAUAAAUUUAAUUAGAAGAUUGUAAAUAAGGAAACAGUAGUACAGUACCCAUAGUUUUUUCCAUGAACUUUGACUAUAAGUAUUAAAUAAUGAAACUGUUUUGAUUAUGUGUUAUAUAUAAUAAGAUUUGUGGUAAUACUCAAGUUUCUUAAAUUGGGAACAAAAUUUAUUGAUUUAUAUAUAUAUAUAUAUAUAUAUAUAUAUAUAUGAUACUUGAAUCCGAAAUUUUGAUUAAGGGAUAUCAAAUUUCUUAUUAAAUGAAAUACAUUCGGAUUUUUGAGUUUAUAAACAGAAAAUAUGAGUGCUAUAAAUAAUGACAAACCGAAAAAUGUAGCCCCAAGGGCUGAAAGAGGUUUUUGUCAAUAGGCUUUCGCUUCAGCCAUGGCACUUGAUACUUAAUAAUAAAAACUAAAGGAAUCUUUGAGGUUUUUGUCAAUAGCCCCAAGCUCUUCAGUUUGGCAUACAGCAUACUCAUCAUUUCAUACAAUAAUAAAAAUUUAUUUUUUAGGUUUAUACUUAAUAAAUUGUAUAUUGAAUAUUGAUACUUGAUUUUAAAUUUUAAAUACAAAUAUGAUUCAAUAUCAUUAUAAAAAUAUUAAAUAAGAUCAUAAAAUAUCUCAAAAAUCAAGAAAACAAAGAGUUUUCUUACUUGGAGUCGAGUACAGAUAACAGCGGCUUGACUGCUUCGACGACAACACCAGUCACCACUCACCAGCGGCCAGCCCAAGCUCAAGGUUUUGAAGGUUUUACCAUUUUGGGAGAUUUUAAAAGUUUUGAGAGAUUUUAAUUUUGCAAUUAGAGAUUUGAAACUUUGAAAGGUUGGGGGUUUUUGCUUUCUGUCGACAAUAGUAGUGACUAGUGAGUGUCUGUCUAUGUUUUUGUUUUAUUAGCUUUUACUUUUAGAUUUUUAUUUUUAUUUAUUAUUAUUUGUAAUAAAAAUUAUUAGGUUGGGAAAUUAGGUUGGGUAAUUGGGUUGGGUUGGGUUGGGUUGGGUAGUUGGGUAGUUGGGUUUAAAUAUAUUAGAUUGGGUUUUUAUGUUGGAUUGGGUUUGGGUAAAUAGUAAGUUAUUUAUAUAUUAUGAUUUUAUUUGUUAUUUUUUCGGUUAACCAAAAUUUUUUCUGUUAGCCGACCGGUUUCGAACCGAAUUAACCGUUAAUCAAAAAUUUAAAAAAUUAUUAACCGACCCCCAACCGAAAAAAUUUGGUUAACUGACCGAUUAAUCGAAUUCAGUCGGUUAACAGAAUUUUUUCGAUUUUACCCGAAUUUUGCACACCCCUAGAUCAAGGGACUUGUUGUCAACUUUGGAUGAUCGAGUCAUCACUCUCGAGGUGUUCAUAGAGGACGUAAAGGAGAGGACCGACGAUGUCGAUGAUAGACUCAUUGAUGGGUUGCAAACGAUGAAGGAGCAGCUCAAGGAAUAUGUGUUGGAUACUAUUGGUUCCUUGGAGAAUAAGCUGGCUGGGAAGGAUGAUGCUCUCGAGGCUAUGGUGACAGCUUUGAAAGAGGAGAUCAAUGAGCUUAAGGGGGAGCUCAAGAUUUUCAAAGCUGCCAUAGAUAAUGGGAUGUUGGCUUCGAGGUCGAAGCAACAAGCAAUGGAUGUGCCCAAACCGAAAGCGUUUAAAGGGGUAAGGUCCGCAAGUGAGGUGUAUAAUUUUCUUUGGGCCAUGGAGCAAUACUUCUAUACGAUGGGCAUCGAGGAUGAUGCCACAAAGGUAAAUACUGUUGCUAUGUAUUUUAUUGAUAUUGCUUUGUUAUGGUGGCGACUUAGGUCUAUUGAUGUGAGACGUGGUGGGACCGAUAUUGGGACUUGGGAGGAGUUCCAAAAGGAGUUUAAAACACAGUUUUACCCCGAAUAUGCUUAGAAUGAAGCUCGAGCAAAGUUACGGCGGCUUACGCAACUAGGCACGGUUAGGGAGUAUGUACGGGAGUUCAAUGAACUCAUACUUUAGAUUUCUAAUUUGAGCGAGAAAGAAGCAUUUUUCUCUUUUACAGAUGGGUUGAAACCAUGGGCGAAGCAAGAAUUGCAACGUUGGGGAGUUUAGGAACUGACCAAUGCCAUGAUGGUAGCGGAGUCCUUAGUGGAACUUGUUCCGAGAAGAAACAAGUUUGAAUCUUCUAAGCCUAACAUGAAGAGCAAUGGUGAGUACCAUGAGGAAGAUGAAGAGGGACAUAGCUAUUAUGGCAGCGAUUGUGGUAGCGAUGGUGGUAAUGGGAAACCACGAAAUAGGAAGUGGAGGCCCAAUAGCCCGAAAGAGAAGAGGGGAAAGUCGAGAUGCUACUUUUGUAAGGGACCACACAUGAAGGGGGACUGCCCAAAUGUAUCUUUAUUUUCGGCUAUCAAGAAGAGUGAUGAGCCGAAAGAGGCAAAGCCUAUUGAGAAAAAGACAUUGACGGUCGAUUCGAUUCGUAGACAUCAAUAUUGCAGGUAAAAAAGAGAGUGCUCUUAUUGAUACGGGAGCAUCAGACUUUUUCAUAUCAGAGAAGGCUGCAAAGAAACUUAGUCUCUCUAUUAAGAAAUCGAAUAGGAAUAUCAAGACGGUAAAUUCUGAUGAGGCCCCAACUGUGGGAGUAGUUCGUGAGAUGAAACUACAAAUCGGUAAAUGGAAGGGCAAGGAAGAAUUCGAGGUAAUCCAAUUAGAUGAUUACGAUUAUGUGCUUGGCUUAAACUUCUUUGACAGGAUUCAGACAGUUCUGUAUCCAUGGGCCGAUCAAAUCCAUAUUGUCACUGGUCUGUUAUCAAAUAUUGUUAUGCCAGUGUAUCGGGAUAUGAAGGUUGGGACAAAGGUGUUGUCGUCAAUCCAACUAGUCGAGGAUGUUUCGUAUGGGAGGAACAUUGACUCGAUAGAAUAGGAUGCUACAAAAACCCAUUAGGAAGUGUUAGUGGCGCAAGAGAUCGAUAUGAAGCCUGUAGAUUCAACUGUGGAGUCGACACCUUCGAGAAAUUUAGGUUGUGUAUCGGGCUUCGAAGAAAAAGGAGCGAUGUAGAAACAGUCGAAACGAGUAAAUGCUGCAAGUAAGGUACAUUGUGAACACUUUGAUAGUGUUUUGAAUUCUGACUUGUUGGCUUGGUAAGGUCGUAAGGUCCCUUUCAAAGUUCAUAAGUAAAGAGGCCGAUGGACUAUAGGCAAUACGAAGCCAAGGUGUGGAAAUCAAGAUGAUUCAAAAGGGAACAAGUCAAAAUUGGGGCAAGUUAGAGUGGUGACUUCUUGCCAAUGAGAUGUACCAAUGAGUGUAACGGUUCAAGACAAGAGGUGACGAAAGCUGAGGUAAAAGUUUGAAAAAAGAGACAACCCGAUCAGAAAACAAGUUAGGAGGAAGUUAAUGCAACAAGAAGAAUUUGAGGUGAAUCAAGUCAGUUCCAUUCGGAAGUCACAAGAAGAGCGUUGCAAGAACGGAUGGGGGAGAAUGUCACGGGUCAGAGUGCAAAGUCCAUGACUAUGGUACAAGAUGUGCCCCAUAGAGGUCUGUUGAUAAGAUGGGGAUUAUUUAGGCCACGAGAACUGGCCCGAUUCAAGGAACUAUUAGAAAAGCCUGUCAGAUUGAAGCUUGGUUGGCCCGAUAGAGAAGAUAUGGAAACUUAGGCAACUAUGGUAACUAAUCUUAGAAGAUAGAAUCUUAAAAGAUAGAGGGAAUCAUAUCUUGUAAAGAUUAGAUAGGACUUGAUAUGACAAUAUCUUGUAAAUCCCUUAAAUCAUGUGAUAUGUUUAAUCUCGUCCAUCGAUGUAAAUGUAUCUUAUCCGUUGGUUUUAGGGGAGCUCAAGUAUAAAUAGAGAGCCUCUUCCUUAUUUGUACUCACUCCAUUCAUUAUUUCAUUAUUCUUUGUGAAUAAGAGAAUAGAGAGAAUUUACUCAAACACUUUGCGAGCACUCUUUCUGUUGUUCUUUUGGUUGCUUCUUUUGGCAUAAAUCGCUUCCGCUUUUCAAUUUGGUGCCUUGAAGGAGUUCUUAAGGAAUCUUCACUCAAGUAAAGGCUGACUUAGGCAAGUUUGAAUGAGUGAAUCACCUAAGGCCGUACGGAUUGCGAGACGAAAGGUUUAGCCCCGUGACACUAGAAGAUGGUGAAUUGAUAGGAGAAACAACCUUGGAAUGAGUGGUUUGAAAAGGAAAUACUGGCUCAUGGAAGGUUACAUGACGAGAAAUAUAUGUUUUACCGUUUUGAUCUUGACAUCGAUAUCCAUGAUGGAUAGGUGAAUAUCCGAGAAAAAUACACUGUGUUGAGCAAAACUGAAGCUUAUGUUUGUUGAAUGGUCUUAAAUUAGGGAAGCAAAGACAACCAAAAACUCAAAGAAAAGAAUAAUCUGGUUUGACAUGAAAUAUUUUUCAUAAGGUGUUAUAUUACCUAAAGGAGAAGAAGGCAACCUGUUAUUAAGUUUACCGCACUGUUGAAGGCAUCAUUCUAGUAGGACAGAGGCAUGGAGGUAUGUGCAAGCAUGAAGAGACCUAUAUCUACAAUCUGUCUAUGCUUGUGCUUAACUAAACCAUUUUACUUAGAAUUAUAUGGGCAAGUAACAAGCUGUUGAAUGCCAUGCUGAGCUAAAUACCCUUUCAAUGCCUGAAAUUCACCACCCCCAUCAGUUUGCAAGGUAAGAAGCUGAUAGCCAAGAGUUCUUUAAGCCUGCUUAUGAAACAUUGAAAAAAAUUAAGCACCCCUGAUUUCGUAUGCAAAAAAUAGACCCAAGUACAUCAGGAGCAUGCAUCAGUGAACGCAAUAUAAUAACAGAAACCGUUAGAAGAAACUGGAGCUAAACCCCAGACAUCGGCAACUACCAACUGAAGUGGCUUAGAAUACUCAGUCGAUGUCUUAGGAAAUGGCAACUUAUGUUCUUUUCCUAAGUGACAAGCAACACAACCGAGAGAGUCUUUAUUCGAAGUAAAAGAGAUAUUACAAUGAUGCAUAGCUUUUCUAAGUGUAGUAUUACAAUGGUGUCCUAAUCUAGAAUGCCAUAGACUCAGAGGCACAGUAGCAGUAGCAGUAAAACAUUGAGCUGAGGCUAAAUGAACAACAGUCUUAGACGGGCCAGAUAGAGUAAGUCUAUACAGGCAAUCAUGGACAGAACCUCGAAGGAGAACUUCCCUGGUUUAAAGAUCUUGAACCUGACACUGUGUAGGAAAAAAACUCAAACAUCACCUUAUUGUCUUUUGUAAACUUUGAAACUGACAAAAGGUUCUUGGUUAUUCCAGGCACAAACAAUAAUGAUUUUAUGAAUAAUGCUCCUGACUGAGUACGAAAAGAAGACUGACUGCCAUGCCAUUGCCAACAUAUACUUUACCUAGGCCAGCAUAGGAGCCACUUUCAUCUAGAGCAGCAAGAGAGUUUGUGAGAUGAUAAGUUGCACCUGAAUCAGGGUACCAAGCAUUAUCAGCCAUUGUUUCAGUUGUAGCAAGAAGGGCCUGAGCAUGUGACGGUACUGAUUGAGGUGAACCAACAUGGUGUAUUGGACCAGCAGCAAUUGGAUUGGUCCAGGUAGGAAUGCUAACUGGUGGAGAAAACCAUCACUGGGGCAAGUUGUGAGAUGCAACAGCCAUAGGAGAUGGUACCCAGAAUGAGAUAGAAGUUCCACUGUUAACAUGCAUACAUUUGCUUAAGGAGAGGAAGGAGGUCUGUAGUUGGUGCUCUUGUAGGAGGUAUCAAGACGGUAAUAGCAACGAUCAACCAAGUGAUCGGAUUUCCUGCACAAUUGACACUGAACAUGAGAGCCCAAAAAACGACCACGCCCACAACUACGAGUGUUUGAGGUGGGUUGAUAAACUGGUACAGACACACUGUUAUUGUUAUGCACCUCAGGAGAAUGGGAAACCAUAUUUGUCGAGCUAGGAGUUUCCAUUGUUAUGAGUUGCUGGCAUGCUUCAACAUCAAGAAACAUUGUGGCUACACCUUGGACACUAUAAGGAACCUGACUGGCAGUAAUUACUGUAAUGAUAGAAUCAUAUCCAGUGAACAAACCAUUGAGGAUGGUAGUGACAUGUUCUUGUUCACUAAUGACCUUUUCGCAGCCAGCAAGAUGAUCACAGUAACCCUUGACUUUCAUCAAAAAGUCUCGCAUUGAGAGAUCAGCUUUACGUUGCGAAUGUAAUGCGUGUCUAUAAAACAUCAACUGGGAUGCGGUUUUGCUGCCAUACACACUAACAAGCGCUGUUCAAAUCUUAGCACUCGUAUUGAGGCCAAUGAGAUGAGGGAGAACAGAAGGACUUACUAAAGGCAGCAACUAAGAUACAAGCAUACUGUCUUACUGCUCAAACCGAUCAAACUCAGGAUUUGGGUGUGAUACCCCUGUGUUAUCAAGAAUUGUUUGAGGGGGAGGAACAGUACCAGGAUCAAUAAAAUGCUGAAGCUUAUACGUCUUAAUCGCUAAAAGAACCUGUUGAUGCCAUAGCAGGUGGUUGUUAUCAUCAAGAAGUACACUGAUCUUCUUGGCAGAAAAGAAACAACUGUCAACUCCAUCGGAAAAAUUGGAUGCCAUCGGUGUAGCAGACUGCUCAAUAGACGGGCUGGAAAAAGACAUAAGACACGCAGGAAAUCAAAAAGCAGUUCCCAAGAAGACAGGGACCUCUGAUACCGUGUUAAGAAUACUUCAUACUGUAUUUUUUCAUUAUUCUAAGUGCUGUACAUUCACAUAUAUAGAGUACAUGCAUGAAGGCUAUAACUGCUAGUUAACUAAUAACUACUAGCUAACAACCUUAACUGCUGACUAACAGCUUCUUUAACUGUUAUUCUAACAUUGGUUAUUGAAUAAAUAAGGAGAGAUUGGCUGCUCAAUGUUGAGUUAGCAACUAGAACUAAUUUAGUAAAGGCAUUAAAGAUAUCUUUGCAUCGAUAAUCGAAUUUAUGAAUCAAACAGAGAUUUUACCUUUGGUUAGAGCUUUGUUUUAUUGAUUUUUCCUCAACUUUUAACUAUUGCCUUUUUUGCUAAGUUUUUAAUUUAAAUUUAGUUUUGAUUUUUUUUUAAAAAAAAAACCAACAUUUUACUUUACUUGUUUUUGUUUAAAAAGAAAGUUAUUACUGAUCUAUGUAGAUACAACUCUUCUUGUUGUUAUUUAAUAAUUUUAUAUUUUCAAAUAGAUUUUUAUUUUUGCAGGUCUCGACAACUUAACAUUCAUGUAUUUAUUUUUAUUUUAAUUUUUUUUUAAUUCUAGUUUUGUUUACCAAUUUUCAACACAGUUCUUUGAUUAUUUCUAGCUAAAUUAUAUUCUAGCUUAUGGUAAAAAAAAUUAUUUUAGUUAAAGGUCUAGAAAAACUUGAUGUUUGAAUUGUAAGACUCUAAACCACACUUUAUUCCUCUUUCACCUUGAUAUUUAUUUUUUUUCCGGUUACAAUAGGACCGUCUCAUUAUGUUGUUCUUGUUGUCUUUAUAAAAAGGGUCACUUGUUGGAUGUUUCGAAUAAUAUGUCGUUAGUAAUAUAAUUUGAUUCAUAAUUGUCAUAUUAUUUUUAUUGAAGAAUAAAUUUUUUUAGUUUGAUUGGGUGUGUAGUUGGAUAACAUCAUAAGAUUAAGUGGUUUAAUUUAAAAGGUCCGUACAAUUAAGAUUGUUGAUUAGAGUUAGAUUCUUCUCAUUCAUAAGGUUAUCAAGGAAUUAAAUCGUAGGAGUUUUUCUUAAGAUUGUUCAACUGACAAAGAUUAAUUGUCAAGCUGUUCUCAUAGUUAAUUUACAACUAAGGAAUGAUUGGUGGUUCGAGGCUAUUCUUCCAUUACUUUAACUAGCUUUUCCUUGAGUAAGAAAGUAACCAUAGUUCGUGAUCAACUUAGAAUUUACCAAAAGUAUUUUUUUUACAAAGUAAUAAAUAUUAAUUUUAGGCCAAUUUUAUCUUUUUAUAUAAAAUGUAAAAAAAAAUUUGCACAUGAAGGAAUUCAAACCGAAACCAUAUUAAAUUAUUAUAUCAAUUUUUAAAAAAAAUUGUUACAUAAAAAAUUCACCCAGCGUGCCGUAAUUAGACCUGCUAAUGAGCCGGGCCACUCGACCUUAAACCUUAAACCCUAAAACCCUAAAAUUUUGGUUGGGCCCGACCCAUGAGCACCUCUAGCCAUAAUCUAAUAGAUGUUUAAAGAACACACUCCAAAGUAAUUCCAAGUUGAGCUUUAUAUUAUUUUAUAUUUUCAAAAUAAGUAUACAAUUGAAAAAAAUAUAAUGCCUUUUUUAAAGGUAAAUAUUUAGUAUACUGAUAGCAAUACUUUUUUAUUUUAUAAGUAAUUUUAAAAAAUUGUCACAUGUUUCUUUUUUUGUAAUAUUUAAUUUUUAACAUCUUACCAUACUCCUAUAUAAUACUUAUACAUUGUCCGCCCCUACUUGUAAAAUCUAAAAACUCUACUAGCAGUGUGUUAUAAAUAUUUUUCCCUUUUUAAAAUUAAAAAUACUGUUAUUUAAAUUUGUUAAAAUGUGGAUAUAUAUUUUUAACUUUGUUUCCAAACUCUUGUUCUUAACUUGAGAAUGUAGAUUUGGCAAACCCUCAAUUAGAGUUAAAAUCAAAAUUUAUGGGUAGCAAUAAUCUUUAGGAUAAUCUAAAAAUUCAAGAUUAGAUUUUUUUUAGUGGAGCUCACCCACUAGUAGAGUAAAAUAAUUUCAUAGGUAAAUUUAAAAUAAUGUUAUGCGUCUUUAUAAAAUAAUUAAAAAUUUUUAUCACAUGCGUAUACAUGUAGAAAUUACGUUUUUAAAAUAUAGAAAUGCGUUUAAAACUAGCAUACAAUAAAUAAUAAAAUGUAUAAUUUUGAAACUAAUUAAUAAUAAUACAUGUAAUAUGUAAGAUAUUAAAAUAAAAAAAAAAGAUUAAAUUGUGAGUAAAAUAAAAUUUAAACAUCUAAAUAUAUUAAAUUAAGAAUAUUAAAUCACUACAAUUGUUUAUAAUUAUGUUGUCACCAAUCUCGGGUUGAUGCCAAAUUAACUUGUGACAUUAACUCAAUCAAUAUCAUUAUCAAUAUAUACAAUUGAUGAAGGUAAUGAAUUGUGUAUAAAAAAAAUAAAAAUAUACAAAACAUUUCAAGAUGAAGUUUUUGUUGAGUGGUAAAGUUAAAAUAUUAUGAAUGUAAAUGUCAUGUCCCACCAUAUGCAAACUAUUUAUUUAUUAAAAAAUAAAAUAAAAAGACUAAAGUACUUUAGAAUAACAUAAUUUAUUUUAAAUUCGAAAAGUCAUUUUUGUAAUUUCUUUCCUGGAUUUAUACCUGAUUGAUUCGUUAUAUCAAUUCAAUCAGGGGUUUAAAUAAUAAUAUAACAACAACAAAAAAAUCGUCAGUGUACCUUAUAAAAGUUUCAGUAAACUAUACCAAAUAUUACUAAACUAUUAAUAAAUUUAUGUCACUAUACUAUUAGUAAGUUUACGUUUUGAUCACUUAACUUCAAAAAAUAACAAAAUAGUUACUGAAUAAUUUAAAAGUUUUUAUUUAAGUCAUUGGGCUGUUAUUAUUAUUAUUUUUUUAAGUUAGGCUAGUGAGUUCCAAGCGACAAUUUGAUGUAUAGUGGAUCAAUACCCAUUGACAAGUAGAAGAAUGUACCUUAGAUCCAAGUCGACUUGACGGUCAAUGUCGAAUAUCAGAAAAGAAAGGUUCUUUGCAUUUUGGUUCACAGAUUCGUGAGAUUCAAAGUUAUUUCAUAAAAAAAAACUGAACUAUAAAAGAUAAUGGAAAGAAGAGCUUUUAAUUGGUCCAGGUGGUACGAACGAAGAAAGCCAGACAAUAACGAUUUUAACAGCCUUGUGACUUAAAUGAAAAUUUUCAAAUAGUCUACUAACCAUUUUGUAACUUUUUAAAAUUAAGUGACCAAAACAUAAAUUUAUUAAUAAUUUAGUAACCUUGAGUACAAUUUACCUUAUAAGUUUUUACUCCAAUGACGUCAACAGAAUAAUUAUUGUUAAGUAUUAAAUUUAAAAACCGUUUAUUAAGAUUAGAAAUGAAAGAAAAGCAGGUCCGUUUCUCUCAGUUCUCACACGAUAAAAAGAAGAGUAUCUCGCGAUAAAUUAAAAAAAAUAGUUGAGAAAAUGAACUAGCCGUUAGGCUCUAAAAUUUCAAAUCUAUUGGCCACUCCCCCAUCUCUCUCACUUCAAUGGCUUUUCAUUUUUUCCAUUAGACAAAGUUUUCUAAAGUUCUCUCUUCUCCAAACCUAAUCUCUCUCUCUCUCUUUUCUUCUUCAACUUUUCUUUAUCUGGUUGGAAGUCUCAAAUAAUCUUUUGAUUAGAUCCAGAAAUUUGAGUAAGUAUUGGAUUGUGAUCUUUUUUAGAAACAAAUUUUCUGUUUUUUCUUUUUUUUUUUGGUAAGAUUUGAGUUGAAUAUGGAAAAUAAUUGAGGGAAGUGAACUUUCCUUUUAUGAACUUAAUUUGAUAUUCAGUACUGAAUUAAGUUCAAAAUAUCGGAAAAUGCUUCAUUUUCAGAUAAUUGAAGGAAACUUUAUGCUAGAAAAUGUGUGAUUCCUAGAGAUUAAAAAAAAAAAUCCAAUUCGCUAGAGAAAAUUCAAAUUUUACCUCUGGGAUUUAGUUGAUUUUGUUUCUAGUAUUUUAAUAUGAAUAAAAGUUAGAUUCGGCUUUUCCACUUCUUUAAUUUUCGUAUUAUUUCCUAUUUUGUUUAAUUUUUUUCAACUGAUUUAUAUAAACUAUGAAGGCUUGAUAAAUUUCAGGAGUAAUUUUUUUCUUCAGCUUCUUUAACAUCUAAUCUUUGGAAUUUGGAUUAAAUAGUAAUUUAUAUGUUUUUCUAUAGGUUUAUAUUUAGAUUUGUCCAUAAUUUCAUAAAUGUUCUUAAAUUGUUGACCUUGUAUACAUAAAAUAUAUAUGUUCAUAAUAUGCUAAUUGUUUCUACUAAUUCAUUUCACAGUUAAAAUUUCAGUCGAUUUCCUUCGGCUCGGGAGGUGAGAGGUUCUGACGGCAUUACAUUUUGUCUUUCUAAUUUCCAAAGGCACGAAGGAAUUAAGGGAAAAAAAUGACAGUCAGAACUCCAGGAACCCCGGCCAGGAAGAUAGACAGGACACCAGUAACAACUCCUGGAGGCCCAAAAUCAAAGGAAGAGAAGAUUGUAGUUACUGUAAGGUUGAGACCAUUGAGUAAAAAGGAGCAACUGGCCAAAGAUCAAGUAGCAUGGGAUUGCAAAGAUGACUACACCAUUGUUUCUAAGCAUCCUUCUCAAGAACGCACAGCUCAGCCUCCUCCUUUCACAUUUGGUAACUUACCUACGAACUUGUUUAGUUGGUUCAUGUUUCAUGGUAAAUUAGUUUUGAGAUUUUUCUUUUUGUUUUCUCAGAUAAAGUUUUUGGACCUUCAUGCUUAAAUGAAACUGUGUACGAAGGAGUGAAGACUGUUGCGUUGUCUGCUUUGGGAGGCAUAAAUGGUACUAAGUUGUGUUCUCUUUUCUACUAUUUCAUUUGGGAAGCCUGUCCAUAAGCCCUUUAUUCCCUUUAUUAGACAAUUCAAUUAUGUAAUUUCUGGCACAGCUACUAUAUUUGCGUAUGGCCAAACCAGCAGUGGGAAGACAUACACGAUGAGAGGAAUAACUGAGAAGGCUGUUAAUGACAUAUACCACCAUAUAAUGAAUGUGAGAUUAGUUUCCCUCGAUUGAACUAAUUAUUCUUGAUACCUGUAAUUUUCUUUACAUUUAUAUGAGUAGUUUGUUGCAUUAACAUAAAACAUUGCAUUGAGAUGGUUGAGACUUGUGAUUUUUCGUAGUUCAUUUAUUGUUUAUUUGAAAUUGUUGCAGACACCAGAGAGAGAUUUUACCAUUAAAAUUUCAGGAUUAGAAAUUUACAAUGAGAAUGUUAGGGACCUGCUAAAUUCAGAAUCUGGCCGCAAUCUCAAGCUUCUUGAUGAUCCAGAGGUAAUGGCCUCUCUUUAGUUAGUCUUUCAAAUGAAUGAAGCACUUGAUGCUUUCACCAUCCUCUUUCUUUUACUAUAAUUUUUAGUUUUAAUCUCUUUCUGCAGAAAGGCACUGUGGUUGAGAAGUUGGUGGAAGAAACAGUUAGCAACGAUCAGCAUUUAAGACAUUUAAUUAGCAUUUGUGAAGGUAACUAAAGAAAAUCGCUUUGAGAUAGCAAACUUUUCCCCUUCUCUUCUAAAUGCUAGGCUAAUUGUUUUACUGCCAUUCUGUAGCUCAAAGGCAAGUUGGUGAAACUGCCUUAAAUGAUACUAGCUCACGAUCACACCAAAUAAUAAGGCUGGUAUGAAUGAUGGUUUCUGUUGGUUCCUUAAUAUAUACUCAAUGCCCCAAGGAAACUAACUCAUAAAUUUUUUUGGAUAAAACUGCAGACAAUUCAAAGUACUCUGCGUGAAAAUUCUGAUUGUGUGAGAUCAUUUGUAGCAAGCCUGGUAAGAAUGAUCUUAUCCCUUCCCAACUUUAUCCAGUAAAAUGAGUAAAUAUUUGCUUCGCAGCCACACUUGUUUUAGUACCCAAAAAGGAUAUAUACAUUCUUGUUCCUGAUGGCAAACUGUUUGAAUCAACACUUGCAGAACUUUGUGGAUCUAGCUGGCAGUGAAAGAGCUUCACAAACUCAUGCUGAUGGUGCAAGGCUGAAGGAAGGUUGUCAUAUUAACCUUAGUUUGAUGACUUUGACAACUGUAAUCAGAAAACUCAGGUCAGAAUAUAUCUUAGCAAAUUUUUGUUCUUCUAUCAUUAUAUUUCUUGACUUUUGUCCCUUCAUCUGUUCUAAAAAUUUUUAAGUGUACUCUGCAAUAGAGGCUUCUUAUGAUGCAUGUGAGAAGAACAAUGAAAAAAAAGAAAGUUACAUAUUGUAAUAUUUGAUUGUCAUCUACAACCACCUUUUAACCCUUCUUGCAUCUGACUGAACUACCCUUUUGUUUUGCCAAAAUCUAAGGAAACUACAUUAAUGUCUCUAAAUGUUACUUGUUCUAUACUUAACCGUAAAAUAAAUACUUAUGCAAAAUUAUCUGCAAAUUGUCAUCUUCUUAAGCUAAUCUUAUUGUCAAAAUUUGUGCAGAACUACAACUUCUUAAAGAUACACUUGACUCUAGGUGCUCAUUAGAACUUUUUGCUAAUGUCUAGUUUAUUAAUGCUAAUAGAGAACUUCUCUAGAUUGAAGGAACAAUUUCGUCUUGCAGUCGUGAUUGAUUUGUCCCUUGUGUCAAUGAAAUUUUUUUCUCUUUGCAGUGUUGGAAAAAGAAGUGGUCAUAUACCGUAUAGAGACUCGAAGCUUACUCGUAUUUUGCAGCAUUCACUUGGUGGAAAUGCACGUACUGCCAUCAUUUGUACUUUGAGUCCAGCACUAAGUCAUUUUGAGCAAUCUCGUAAUACUCUCUUCUUUGCCACCCGGGCAAAGGAAGUGACAAAUAAUGCGCAAGUCAAUAUGGUACUUACUUUUUCCUUCUUGCUUAAUGAGAUUUGACAUGGAUUUCCAAAUGCAUGAACUUUUAAGUGAAUUGACAUGAAUACAUUUUUCUCUUUGCAUGAAAGGUUGUUUCAGAUAAACAGUUAGUCAAACAUCUUCAGAAAGAAGUAGCCAGGCUAGAAGCAGAGCUUCGAACCCCUGAUCUAUCUAGGGAGAAAGACUUAAAAAUACAACAGGUAAUAAGCGAUUCAAGUUGGUUUCAUUUGGAAUUGUUUUAUAUUGCAAAUGAAACUGAACCCAUAUAUAAUCACGUUUUCUGUUUUUGCUUUAUAGAUGGAAAUGGAAAUUGAAGAACUUAAGCGCCAAAGAGAUCUUGCACAAUCUGAGGUGGAUGAGUUACGCAGAAAACUUCAGGAUGAUCAACAGGUUUCCUUCUAUAUCUCCUUAUUCUCUUUACUUUCUCUCUUCCUUUUUGAAUAUUUUUAACUAACUUUUUCUUGUUUGUUUAAUAUAACUAUUCAGACUUCAAACCCAAUUGAGUUACCACGUCCAUCAAUGAAGAAGUCUUUGUCUUAUUCUGAUGUGUUGUCACCGAAACUCGAUAGGAAGGAAAUAGACCAUAAUGAUAAAACAAGGAAAACAUUGCUAAGGCAGUCUAUGAGGCAGUCAUCAACUGCUCCUUUCACACUUAUGCAUGAAAUUCGUAAACUUGAACACCUUCAAGAGCAGCUUGGAGAAGAAGCAAAUCGAGCUUUGGAAGUACUCCAGAAAGAGGUGGCUUAUCAUAGACUAGGUAAUCAAGAUGCAGCUGAGACAAUUGCCAAGCUGCAGGCAGAAAUAAGGGAGAUGUGUGCUGUCAGGUCUAUUAAAAAGGAGGUUGAUGUUGGAACUGCUAUAGCUCCUAACAGAAGUGUCAGUGCUAACCUCAAGGAAGAGAUAACAAAACUUCAUUCACAGGGUAGCACAAUAGCUAACCUUGAGGAGCAGUUAGAGAAUGUUCAGAAGUCAAUAGACAAAUUGGUAAUGUCUCUUCCAAGCAGUAAUCAAGAAUCCAAUGGUGAAGCAGCCGCCAAAACCAAGAAUCAGUCUAUAAAGAACAAUUUGCUUCCUUUAACUUCAAGUAAUGUUGCAAACCGGCAAAAUUUUAUAAAAUCUCCAAGCUCCUCUCUAUCAACCUCUCAGCAAAUUAUGGAGCCUGAUAAUGAAGAAAACAGACCUCCAGAGGAUGAUGACAUUGUCUCUAAGGAGACUCCCAGAGUCUGAGAAAGGAACACCUGCAAGGAGUGAACAGGUUGGAGAUGUCUCUUCAAAGGAAAGCACUCCAUAUAGACGUCAAAGUUCAGUUAACAUGAAGAAAAUGCGGAAGAUGUUUCAGAAUGCAGCUGAAGAGAAUGUAAGAAGCAUAAGAGCAUAUGUAACUGAGCUGAAAGAGCGAGUUGCUAAAUUGCAAUACCAGAAGCAACUACUUGUUUGUCAGGUAAAAUAAUGACCUUUCUUUAUGAUGGGCCUUGCAUUCUUUGUUAUUAUUCAUUUAUAGGGAAUUCAUUUAGUUUUUCUUUUACUUGUUUUUUAGGUGCUUGAGCUGGAAGCUAAUGAAGCGGCUGGAUACAAUUUAGAGGUUGAUGAGAGUGCAAUUGAACCAGAGGAACCCCAAGUUCCAUGGUAUGUAACCUUCAAGGAACAAAGGCAACAGAUCAUUGAGUUAUGGGACGUCUGCUAUGUCUCCAUCAUCCAUAGGACACAAUUUUAUUUGUUAUUCAGGGGAGAUCCUGCCGACCAAAUAUACAUGGAAGUGGAGCUUAGGCGCUUAAAUUGGAUGCAGCACCAUUUUGCAGAACUUGGAAAUUCAAGCCCAGCUCUAGUAGGAGAUGAGCCCACAGUGUCCUUGUCAUCAAGGUUCUCUCUCAUAACCACACAUCUCUUGUUGCUUUCAGUUGGUUGUGUUAGCUUAUCCCUUCAUGGAAUUUGUCUGUUUUCUUGCAGCAUUAGAGCCCUGAAGCGUGAAAGGGAAUUCCUCGCAAAGAGGUUGACGUCACGAUUGAGUGUGGAGGAGAGAGAUGCAUUGUACAUUAAAUGGGAUGUACCCCUGGAAGGAAAGCAAAGGAAGAUGCAAUUCAUAAACAAGCUGUGGACAGAUCCGCAUGAUGUCAAAAACAUAGAGGAGAGUGCUCAGAUAGUGGCAAAGCUUGUAGGGUUCAGUGAAGGUGGUAACAUGUCAAGGGAGAUGUUUGAGCUCAAUUUUGCAUUACCGACUGAUAAGAGCCCUUGGACUGUGGGGUGGAAUCAAAUUUCAAACCUUCUAAAUUUAUAAGACAACUCAUUGUUUGGACCUACUUUCUAUACCUGUAAAUGAAUUUUUUGGAGGCCUUUCUCCAAAUGUUCUACUUUCAUUUAUCACGGUGUGACGAAUCAAGCACACUGUCAUUGAGGAUUGUUUGAGAUUCUUUGUACACUUCGUGAGGUCAAUAAAGGAAUUAGAUCUUCAAAUUAUGUGAUAUCUACUUAGGUUUGAUUUGAGAUAUAAUUUAACAAAUCAAAUGUGAUAGCACCGAUAUAAUAUUACAUAUUUUGUAGUAUACCAAACAUUAGUCUUUACAGUACAAUCAAUUAUGGACGACAUUUGAUUGUGUCAAAGUGAUCACAUAUACCAUUUUCAUUAUAAGAACUAUUGUAACUAUUAUAUAAUAAUAUAACAAACAUUUUCACGGUGAGUUAAUCUAUAUACUAUUAUGCUAAAAUGUACUAAUGUGUUGGCUUAAUAUCUCUAUCCAUGACAAUAUCUUGUCAUCAAUCAACCACACAUUAAUCUCAAUGUAUUAUUGUUGUCUCCGUGAUAAUACUCGACUAAAGACAAUUAUUAAUAAUUUUUUAUUAAAAAAAUAAGUAAAUAAAUAUACUAUUACAAUAAUCUCAUAAAUGGUCUUCAAGCAUACUUCAACAACAAAAAGUAGAGACGGGUUAUUAUGUAGGUGCAAUCAUUCUCAAAAAACAGAAGGAACAAUGUAAUACUAAUAUGUAUGGGACUCUCAACUCAAUCAAAGAUUUAAGUAAUGGUUGCUCUGAGCCACCAUAUUAUCCUAAUGUUUGAGCAAGGAAUACUGAGAUGCAAGAUACUCAAUAAAAAAGAAAUUUUGAAUUAAUAUCCUUGUUGAAAAAACAAAGAUGAACCGACAACUUGAACAAACUUUUACUAAUAUUUGAAGCCUUAUCGAAAAUGUUCAUAUUGUAAUGGCAAGGCAAGGAAAUAAAAUUAUACAGUAAGAAGCAAAUGACUCGCCCAAGGUGAUGUCAAUGCUUGUUCAUCAUCUUUUUAUUCACUUGUUUAAAUAUAUUUCCUUUUAGUUGUUUAAAUUUAAAAAAUGAGAUAAAAAGAUAAAACUAUUGAUCUUGAUUUUACCAUUAGAAUUCUAAAUAUACUUUAAAAAAAAAAUUCUUUUGUAGCUAAUUUGGCAAUGGGGUUUUUAAGUAAUUGUUUCAGCCAGUGGCUGAAAAGGUUAUUCAUGUUUGAUGAUCCGAUUGUUGAAAUGCAAGAACUAAGUACUUUAAUUAUGACUGAUAUUACCACCUUCAAUAUGGCACUUCAGCUUGAACCUUAGCUGCAGCUAAGAAGUCAGAUCGUGGGUUCUCAUUUGAAGAAGAGAAGCACAUUGUACUUCAGCCUUCAACCUUCAUGCUCGGUUUGAUAAGAGUAUUGGAACAAAUCGAGAGGGAUGGUGUUGAGGGUUACGCACUUUUUUAAAGUUUAGUGUUGUCUUUAAUCGCAGUUUUGUCUUUUUAACUUUUCUGUUUGGUGAAUUCAUAGAAUGAAAAUGCAUCAAAUGAUUUGAACAGGUGAAACCAUGUUAAAUUGAAGAGUUUGUACAUUAUUUGACUCUGACCUCGUGAUGAGAAAUUUUAAGGUGGCUUUUUAGAAUGAGCACUCCAAUUACAUGUUAUUAUAUAUUUUUAUAUCUUGUGUAAUUUAUCAAUUACACAAAUUAUUACAACUUUCGUAAGGUUUUGUGUAUUUACACAAAACAUCAUCCAAUUACACAAAUGUAUAAUGAUAAUUUUAAACAUUAAUGUUUAAUCAUUUUGUCACUUUAGUCUUCAACCUUCAAACUUUAAUCAAAUUGUAUUUUUGUUGGAUGGAGAAAUUAACUGACCUAUUAAAAUUUUAACGACAUUGAUAUAACAACUUAUGUGACCGUCCAUAUGUACUUUAGUCAUGAGUUAAAUGCUCAAAUUUUUUCAUGAUCAAUGCUUCUUGUUAAUGCUCAUAUGUUUGAUAUUAUCUCUUUAUCUUGCUAGUAAAGGUAUAUAAAAUGAAAAUAAUGAAAAAAUAAAUAAAUUAAAGAGAAAUUAAGUCAGGCAAUUUAUUUCUUAACAUAAUGAUUUAUCUAACCCUUCAACAAAAAUUUAUUUUAUCUCUCCAUUUAAUUUUUUUUUGCCUUUUUUAACCCUUAAAACUUGUACUGUUUGUUAAAUCACCCCAAAAUGAAUUAAAAACUUAAUGUUUAUUAACUUUAUUGAUUCCACGUUAACAAUUAAUUAACUUUUUAAAAAUUUUAAAAUUAAAAAAAAACAUAAAAAUUAUUUUAAAAAAUUUAUAAAAAAAACAUGUUUUUUUAAAAAAAAUUUAAAAAAUAAUUAAUUUCUCGAUGUCAACAAAGUUAACUUAUGUCAAUUUUUCCUUCUAUUUUUAGUGAUUUGACAAAUAAUGCAAGUGCAAAAGUUAAAAGAGACAGAAAAAUUAAAUUAAAAGUUAAAAUGAUUUUUUGUUUCGUAAAAUUGAAAGGCUAAAUAAGUCAUUAUGCAAUGCGUGCCUUAACAACACUCUGGUGGUUAGGUUGAGUAGAGGAUAAACUAUUCACCUAAAUUGGGUAACGUUGUUUGAACCGGAUUAUACUAACCGGUUGGACUAAGAAGUAAGAAUUAGUCGAUAAACUGGUCUGAUAAGAGGGGUUAGACCGGUUACUUUGCGAACCAAUACAAACCGGUUGAACUAGACUAAAAAGUCGAUUGAAUCGAUUGAACCAAUUUUUUCUAUUUUUUUAAUAUUUUUAAAUUUUUAUGAAAUUUUUAAUGAAUUAUUUAAUCAAAACAGAUGGAACUGGUUGAAUUGAUAACUAGAAGUCUGGCUGGUUAGAUCACAGGUCUGAUUCUUAAAACUGAGUAGUAAGAUUGAGUCCAAGACAGGCGGAUAUGGAUGUUAUGUGGGGUUGAUUUGGCAAAGCUUCCAAAAGUUGAAGAGUUUGAGCAAAGCCAGUAGCCCUUAAGAGAGUAAUAGCUCCUCCCUUACAAUGGGAAUUCUAAAAUAGUUAAAAGUUCCAUAUUAAGUGGGCAAUCUAACCACAUGUAAAUCACAACAUAAAAUCCUUCCGUAAAACCAACGAGUUCCAACUUACAAGCAUCUAAACUGCACACAUUCGCUACUUUUACCUGGAGGAUGGGUCUGCCUUGCCACUUUAACGAACCAGUCUGAUUCAGAAUUCCAACAUUCACCAGCCAACCAAAUGUAUAUAACUUCUGCAAGUCAAAAUGACAUUGUUACUAUACAUACUUUGUUUUUACUCACUAAAACAUUAUCUCAGAGAUCAAUUAUUUGUUUUCAUGAAAUUGUAUAUAUCUCCCUACAAUAACAAAAGUAGGCCAGAACAAGAAAUAAACUCAAUUCUCUAGAGGUUUUUUUUGGUGAAAAGGUUCUUUCCUUGAAACCUCUUUCUCACAACUGUUUAAAACCAUCUCUAUUCAGAGUAGGCUUUAGCUCAGUGCACACCGCUGUUAUUGAACAACUAAGAGGGUGUAGGUUUGAAUGCACUUAAGCACAUUUUUUCCUUUGAUUUAAGGGUUGGGGGGUCAUGGAUAGAAGUAAGUAUUUUAUUAGAGUAUUUUAUUAGAGAAAACAUCAUCUUCAAUAAUCAACACUUACGUAUAUUCAAAACAGCAUCUUCAUGAGAGUACUUUUAAACUGAAGUUUGAACAAAUAUUAGUUUGCUUAUUGGUAUUUUAACAUUGGUUCCAUUAUUCAACAAAGACUGUAUGUGUUUUUCAAACUAUUAAGGUACGUUUAUUUUCAAUACCAUCUCUUCUACAAUAUUUCCUUUUUGUUUCCUUUAAUUUUAUUUUCAUCAAGUUUUUUCUUUAUUGCUAAUUUUUUUUUUUUACAUAAUAAUAAUCAAUUUGCUUUAAACAAAGAAUGUAAUUGAAUUAAAGAUAAGUUUAAAAUAUCUACAAUAUAUUUGAGUUAGAAAUAGUUUAUCUCCAACAAAACUCAAGUUCUUGUCUUUAAUGGUUGCCAGUUUCAUGAUGAUUGAGUAUUUAACUUCCAGUUUAAUGGUCAGUAGGCUUUCAAUCAACAAAAAUGAGCCAUCAAUGACCUCUAAGCUAACGUCAGCAAUAAGUUAUAGCUUGCUGGGUUUCCAGCACAUCCUACAACAAAUUAGGAGGUAAACUAGGGGCCUACCAUUCAAUAUUUUCCCAAUGAAGAAAACUACCCUGGCCUCUAGCAUUUGUGAAUUUGUAAACAGCUCCAUGAACUAGUGACAAGAAAUAAAACAUGGUCAAAUAUCAAAUUUAUUACCAUAGAAACCAGACAAACCAGACACACUGUCAGCUUCAAGAGUAUAAUACCUUCAUACCCUUCAAGAACCGGAUCUUCAGACAAGAGAAGGGGAGUAUCCAAAUCAACAAAUCUGCACACCAUGUCUUCAAGUUAAAACUUGAAACAAAUUACAUUAAAAUGCUAGUCACAUUCAAGGAAGCUGAUAUAUAACAUUGGCGAGCUAUGGUUGUCAUUUCUUUAACAAGGAUGAUGAUACUCACUUGAAACAUCCAAGGCCAGCAGCAAGAUGACCAGCAAAGCCCAUGGCCAACCUGGUUUCCACCAUACCACCAAUCAUGAGAUCCAGUCCCGAUGCCCUAGCCAAAUCAAUAAUUUCAAGAGCACCAAGGACUCCAACUUUAGCAAGCUUAAUGUUAACAACAUCCGCAAGUUCUCCCUUCACUAUUUUCUUAAGAUCAGCUAAACUCCGACAGCUCUCGUCCGCUGCAACAGAUACCCCAUAUUUGCUUUUUGCAAAAUGAGUAACACGACCAAGACCUUCCCAAUCAUCUCUAUGAACUGGCUGUUCAAAAAGAACAGGAGUCACUCCCAUUUCUGUAGUGAAAAGAAAAACAAUAAAGCCUUAAGAUAGUUCAUAAUAGGUAAUACACAUUGUGCAGAAUCUUAUAUUUUCUAUCAUACAUUCUCUACCAUGUAAUUUUUCAAGAACUUCAAUAGCCUCCUCAGGUUUAUAUCCCUCAUUAGCAUCCAAGAUGAAUGAACAAUCAGGGUGAACUGCACGAAUUGCUUGUAAAACUUCAAUGUCAGCUUUCAGGUUCUUUCCUACCUUAAGCUUCAAAUUUUUGAAUCCUUGUUUGUGAUACUUUGAAGCUAAUGCAGCAGCUUCAGCCGGGGAAACAAUAGGAAUCUGCACAUAUAGAGGGCUGAAGCUGACAGAUAGAAAAUAACAAUUAUGGAAGAAACAGACAAACAAUGAAGGGAGAGAAACUGAACUGUUAUAUCAGUGAUUAUUGUAUUUGAAGCUCCACCAAAUAAUCUCCACAGAGGUAGACCAAUGCUCUUAGCAACUGCAUCAAUCAAUGCCAUCUCAAUUCCGGCCCUAACCUUCAGAUGCAAGAACAAUCUAAUGAACAUAUAAAGAACAACCAAAAACAUAGAGAGGACUAAAAAAAAACUUACUGAAGCAAACUGAUGGCCAGGUAAAAGAUCACCAAUCUCCCCCAGCACUGCCUCAAGAGUCAAGAAAGAACAAUUCUUGAGCAUGUCACAGGCCUCCUUGGCUUUAGCCAUAGCAGUAGGUUGAUCCUCUGCAGUAACAAAAGGCAGAAUUGGAGCCUCACCCCAACCAACACAUCCAUUUUUCAACUCGAUCCUGAUUGCCACGUUCUCCACUUUAUCAAGCCUAGAAGUGGCUAUGGUGAAAGGAGCAACCAAAGGAACAUUUAGGGGUUUGUUCUCAGCUUUCUGAACUUCCACCGUGAAAGUUUCCAACAAUUCCUUGAACCCAAAAUUUGAUGAAGAAGAAGUAACAGGGGCCUUCAUUGAAUUCUUGACAUAGAGAUUGGAAAGGGGGAGCUGGAAUUUGAGGGGUUCAUGGGGUUUUGAGGAAUUUAAAGGGGAUUUACUGAAAAAAGAAAGGGCGAAUUGAGACAACAUUUCCUGGGGUUUUGUUUUGAGAGACUUGGAUCGGUUUGCGGACUUGAGCCAGGCACCAUAACCAUUGCAGAUGAUUACUGUUCCAAAAGGGUUUUGUUUGAUCAACAUGGUAGAAGUAGUUGAAAUGAAAUGCUUAUUUUAAAUUGAACUUGUCAGUUUCCAUGAGUUUGGACUUGGAUCGAUACAUGUGUUUGGACAGUUCUCGCCGGCCACCUCCUCAGUUUUCUUGUUCUAAUUAAAUAUACAUUAGCUAAAAAUAUUACCUCCCCUGAUUUUCAAUUUUCAUAUUCACUUUAGAAUUCGCGUCUCUAAUCAUACUGAUUGAUUUUGAUCAACUGAUUUUAUUCACUCAUUUAAUCAACUAAUUUUAUUGAUUAAAAUAUUAUAAAACAAAUUAUAUAAUAUUUAAAAUAUUAUAAAACUAAUAACAAAUUUUAAAGUUUAAAAUAUUUAAAUAUUUUAUAUUAUUAAAAAAUAUAUUUAAUAUUUAAAAAAUAAUAUUUAAAAUUUUAAAAAGUAAUUUCAAAAUAUAUAUUUAAAAUUUACAAAAAUAUAUAUUAAUAAAAUAUUUCAAAUAUAUAUUUUAAAUUUUUUAAAGUUAAUAAUAAUAAAUAAAAUAAACAUAAAAGACAAAAAAUAAAAAAAAAAGUAAAAAAAGUAAAAAAAAAAGUAAAAAGAAAAAAGGAAACUGACAUGGCAGGCAAAGAAAUCUAGUGGCGCCAUAUUAAUUGGCUCCACCAGAAAAUAGUUAAUUUUUUUUAAGUCCCUUCAUAUUUUUAGAAAUUUUAAUAUUUUCCUGGUAUUUAUACAGGUAGCGCCAUUUUACAUGGCUCAAGCAAAAAAUUAAUUUUUUUAUGCUCCUUGCUGACGUGGCAUGUUAGUGGUGUCAAAUCAUUUGGCUCCACCAAUUUUUACUGAAAAUUCAGGUCAUUCUUGUACUUAAUUAAAAAUGUAGGUCAUUUUAAUAAUUAAUUAAAUUAUUUAGGUUAUUUUUAUAAAAAAGUUCUAUUGGCAAGGGGACAUUCUCUAAUUGUGGCUAUGAGUUCAAGGAUGGCCAAUAGGUCUAAGCAAGGGGUUGACUGCUACGCUUAAAAUUCACAAGGUGACAGUCAUGAAUAAGGCGAUCACGACCACUCACAUGGCGAAGAGCAUGCUCCCGAGGCACAACCUUCUGAGGCCCAAGGCGGUCCUGCAGAUGCUCUAGCCAUAGCUCUGCCAUUAUGUCCUCGCACUCUCGCGCUUCUCUCUAAUAUAAAUGGCGUCUUCGAUCAUGUCAACACCUUUAUCGGGCACUUAGAUGCUUGGCUUAAUGAGUUGUCACGUCAAGUAGACGUACACUUUAUCAAAUUAGAAGAGCAAAUAGCGAUGCUCUUAUCCCAAUUUUUGCCUUCACCUCAACCACCAUCGGAUCUUUGAUAGGUGUUUUUAUUUUAUUUUGGGUGUUUGUGGCUCUUUUUGGAUUUGUUUAGCUUAUGUUUGCUUUGGUUGGUAAAUAUUUUUUUAGGAUGUUUAUGUUUCUUUUGGGAUGUUAAGGAUGAUUUUCUAUGGUUUGAUGCUUUAUCUAUAGGAUGCUUUCUCAUUAAUCUAUAUAUUGUUUACGCAUAUUUUUGCAUUUUUUAUUCUUGUGGUUUUUUUUGUUUCUAUUUUUUUCCCAUCAGCUUUGAUUUUCAAAUGCUUCUCUCUUGGUAUAUUACACAAUUUUUCUCAAUCUUUUUUAUAUACCAAAAAGGGGGAGAAAUAUAAUAAAAUUUGCGCAAUUACUUAAAAUCAAUGGGAAAAUAUAAUCUUCAAUUUAAAAAGGAACUAGUAUUCAUUCUUUGAAUAUUGAUUUACAAUUUUUUUUUCUAAAUGUUUUUAUUAUGAAAUUUUAAACAUUUUUGUCAAAAAUAAUGUGUUUAAAAAGUGUUCUAUAAAACGGAGUAUAUCUUAAAAAUAACAUCUGAUUUAGGGAGAAAGUAAAUUUUUUUAAAAAAUUUUGUUAUAUAAAAAAGGGGAGAUUGUUAGCUUUGAUUUACUAAUGAUUUGAUAUAACAAAAUUAUUUAUAAUUUCCCUUAAUCCAAUUUGCAUAAAUUAUUUCAAUCACACUCAAAUAUUCUUCAUGUGUUACAAACUCAAAAAAUAAAGUUUCUAAAUGGCUUAAAAUUUUACAAAUUUCUUUUAGUACCCCCAAGUCUUUUAAAAUGUUUCUAAGCCAUAUUUUUCAAAGUUUCCAGUCCUAUCUCAAGACAUACCAACAUCGAAGUUAAAAUUGCUUCAGGGGUGCCCUGGCUCGAGACAAAAGCUCAUUUGUCUCGAGAACAACCAACAUUGAAGCUAAAGUAAGCUAUAGGGGAACUCUGUCUCAAGACAAAAGCUUUUUCUUUUGUCUUAAGACAACAAAACAUUGAAACUAUGGUUUGCUUCAAGACAGCCUUGUCUCGAGACAAUACAAUGGAGCAAUUGUCUUGAGACAUAUAACAAUUUUUCUUAAGACCAGCCUAUUGUGUCUUGAGACCUUAGGCUCCAACAGUCAUAUAGUUUUUCUUCUUGUCUCGAGACAUUGACCCGCACACACUUGUGCGCAGAAAAACAAAUAAUUUUAUAAAGCAAUUUAAAAGUGCGGUUUUGACUGCGAGUGUAUAGUGUCAGUUGUAAUAUUUAUAGUUCCGAUGGAACACGAAGUGUUCCCAAGGGUUGAACCCAAAGAAUUGUCAAGUGAAUAAAUGUAUUUAUCAAGUCAAUUACAAGAUGAGCAAUUACUAAUAUAAUUGAGUAAAAAAUUAUUAGUGCGAAUUCAAAUUUAAAAUUGUUUAUAAACUAAAACUAAACUAUUAAUUAAAUUAACUAAGCUAAACUUUCUUCCUAAUGUUUUAGAUAAUAUGAAUGAUUACACGAUAAUAAAUUGAUUAGUUGAGUGCUAAUUAAACUAAUGAACCUAUAUCGAUUAUAUUGUUUGUCACUCUUAGUUAGGAAUCUCCUCUCGAUCUCAUCAUAGACUAAAAGAUGCCACCUAAGAUUACUUCUCGGCCUCACCUAGGCAUAUAGAUUACCUCUCGGUCUCACUACUCGUGUAAUGACCCAAAAUUCACGGGCAUCAAAAAAAGUACAUUAUAGGGCCUCCGUCUCAGUAAACCAAACCUAUAAAUAAUUAUUAGAAAUAUCUAUGAGUCUAGUAGUGUGUCUAAUUAGGUUUUAAUUAGGUAAAUUUAACUUAAUUAAGAGUAAUUAGGAAAAAGAACUAAAUUGAAUAAAGGGCAAAAAUUGAAUUAUAGAUUAAUAAAAAGAAAGGGGGACCAAAAUGGAAAAUAUGCCAUUUGAUAUAAUUGAUUAUAUAUUAUUAUUAAUUGAUUAUAUUAUAAUUAUAAAUUAUAUAUUAUGAAACAAAUUAAAUAAAUAUAAAUGUAUGGUAAUAAAAAUAUACAUGUGUAAAAAUUAUAUUUGUACAAUUGUAAUUUAAAUACAUAAUUUACUCAUAAUUUAAGUAUAAAGUUAUUUUAUGAUUAUUAAUUAUAUUAAAAAAAUUAUAUGAUAAAUAAAUUAAAUUCAUGACAAGUGGAUAGUGAUGAUGAUAUACAAAUGUAACAAUGUAUAAAUCUAUAUUUGUAACAUAUGUAUUUGUGUAUUAAAUAGAUACUUAUUAUAUUUAUUAUUAUUUAAUUAAUAUUGUAUUAUUAAAUUAAUGAAUAAAUUAAUAAGAUGACAAAUGUAAGGUGAUAGUAAAAUACAAGUGUGAUAAAUCAUGUACAUACAAUUGUAAUAUUUUUUAUUUAAUUACUUUUUAUUUAAGUAAAUAGAUCAUUAUUAUUUAUUAAUAUUAUAUUAUUAUAUUAUGAAAUAGAUUAGAUCAAGACAAAUGUAGGGUGGAGAUAAUGUAUAAUUGUAACAUAUAUAUUUGCUAUCAAAUAGAUAUUUAUAAAUUAAGUUAUAAUUAUAAAGUAAAUAAGAAAAAGAAACAAAUAAAGGAAAGAAAGGACGUAAAACAUAGAAAGAAACAGAGAAAGCCAUUCGAAAGUGGGAAAGGAAAGAAAGAAAGAAGAGAAAAGGAGAAACUAAGUUUUUAAAGCUUGAAGUUUAAUUUGGUAAGUCAAUUAAGCCUUUUUCUCUUAAAUUUGAUGUUUUAGAAGCUUUGGAAUAAAGUUUUGAUGAAAUUAAGUUGAGGUUUUGGAAGUUUUAAGGUUUUUGAAUAUGGUUCAUGUUGAACAAAAUAGUGAAUUAGGGAUUUAAUUGAAUGAAUUUCAAGUUAGAAUUGAUAAAGGGAUUAAUUUGUAAAAGAAGCUAUAUGUUUUGUGAUAGAGGGAUUAAAUUGAAAGAAAUUUUAAAUUACGGUUUUAUUAUGAAUAUUGAAUAGUUGAGUUUCAUAUGGCAAGAAAUUAAGUAGAAAAGAAGUAUGAAUUAAGUUAGAAAAGUAAGUAAACUUAGUUAGGAUUAAAUUGAGAAUAAGUAGGAAUUGAAUAAAAUUCAAUUAUUUAUUAUAAUUUAAUGCUGUAAUUAAUAGUGAAAAUUAUUAUUAUUUUUAUAGCUAGCAAAGAACCCGAGGCAUCGUACCGAAAAAAAAGGAAAAAGUUGUCGAGGAGUAAUCGAACAAAUCCGGGUUUGUAUUACUAUAAUUCAAAUUAUUUAUUUAUUUAUUAAAUGUUAAAUUAAAUUAUGUAUUUGGUAAGUAAAUUACGAGGUAAGUGUUGUUAUGGAAUUGAAUGAUAAUUGAAAUGGUUGUUAAUAGUAUUGGAUUAUGAUUGAAUUGUUGAAUUGAAAGAUAAUUUGAGAUUUAAAGUGAAGUUGAAUUGAAGGAGAAAUAUGUGUUAGUAUUGAAUUGUAUUUUGAUUGGUGAAUGGAAAGUGUAUUUGAUUCUAAAACUGGAUUUUUGAAAUGAAAGUGAAAUUUUGAUUUAAAUGGAAUUGAUAUGAAUAUUGAUUGGAAUUGAUGUGAAUAUUGAUUGAAACAGAGAAAGUGAACUAAGUACCCUAUUAACUAGUCGGGAUAAGUCGAAUAUAGUUGGCAUGCCAUAGGAUUGGAAGUGUUCAGGGAUGCUUCGACCUCGAGUCGAUGAGACACUGGGUGUCACUAUUGUAUUUCGGAUAGAUUCGAUGAGGUACUGGGUACCACCUUACUUCGGCUAGGCCGAUGAGACACUGAGUGUCAACUUUGCUUCGAAACAUCCGAUGAGGCACUGGGUGCCAUUCUGGUGUGUUUGGUUGGAUCCGUGUAUCUUUCAAAGUCCGGGUCUGUUAAUAGGGUGAAAAAAUGAAAUGAAAAAUUUAAAUUGUGGAUUGAAAUUGAGAUUGGAAAUGGAAGGCAUGAACUAAACGUUGAUGUAGUGAAGAAAAUUGAAGUCUAUGAUAUUUGAUUGAAACUGAUAAAUAGUUGAAAUUGUGUUACUAUUAUUAAUGAAGGAAGUUUAAGAACGAGUUAAUAUUUGAGAAAAUUCAAUUGUUAUAUGUUUAAUAUUUAUAUUUCAUUAUUGUUAUUAUAGUUUGAAUUAUAGUAAUACCACUGAGUAUGUAACACCCUGAAAAUUUCUACAAUAAGAUAUUAUCCUUAAUAUAGUAAAAUAAGGAAAUAAAGUGACAAGAAGAGGAAAAAUUGAGUUAUGUUACUGGGAAGUAUAUUAUGACAUAUUGAUUUAAGAAAGGACUAAUUUGUAAAAGUGAGAAAAGUUUUGUGGCCCAAGAGUAAAUACUCAAAAUUUGAGAGAUUAAAGUGUAAAUAUGAAAAGUUGAAGGACUAAUAGUGAAAAUAUUUUAAGGGUGGAAUGAUCUAGAAACCAAGGAAAAUUGAUGAAUUAAGACCAAAUUGAAUAGGUGAAGAAUUAUGAGGGACUAAAUUA
rnacentral:lncRNA from 1 species